rnacentral:lncRNA from 1 species
UUGUGUUUAGUUGUACCCUUGCUUCUAUGUUUUCUCCAAAUAUAUCUUGUGAGAUCAUAUGUCAAAUAUUCACUAAUAUAUCCUAUACAACAAGCAAGUCUUGGAGUUUAGAGUAGCAUUUUUUGAGCUCACACUUUUUGAAUGAAUUAUAUGACAUAGCUUGAGUGUCUCAUCGACUAAGUGAAUUGUGUGCCAAAAAUUUGUCAAUUGAUUAAGUCAUUCCCUUUGUUCCAUAAGCACACGAGCCUGUAUUUCGCCCCUAAAGAAUAUCUAAUUUCACCACUUAGCCCCGAUUGUGUGCCACAGACCUACAAGCAUAUGGAUGAUCAUCAUGCCAGGCCCCUGCCAAAGUAUGUCUAAAAUUGUCAUCAAACAUUAGAUUGGUCAUAGCAUAUAUCAUUAAGAAGGUAAAAGUUUUAAACCUUUAUGUCAAAAUAACGAUCUGUAUAAUGUAUAUAUGUUGCUAGUAGUCAAUGAUAGUAAGUAACACCGAGUAACAAUGAAAUAAACUCUGUGGUAAUUUCAAAAGCAAGGAGGUGAGGUAAAUUAAUAUUAGUGUGAAGGGCCUUCACUAGUGGAUAGAUACAUGGCUAACGAUAAUUCAUGGCUUUAAAACAACAAGGAGGUGAGGCAAAUUAAUAUUAGUGUAAAGGGCCUCCACGAGUGGAUAGAUAAAUGGCUAAUGAUAAUUCAUGAUUUUAAAACAAUUGAAUCCUAUCAUCCUCACCUCCCAUGUAGAGCAACUUUUAGAACGAUGAUUGUUUAUUUGAAUGCAUACAUAUAUACAUACAUACAUACAAUCGAAUCCUAUCAUCCUCACCUCCCAUGAAGAGCAACUUUUAGAAAGAUGAUUGUUUAUUUGAAUGCGCACACGCGCGCGCGCACACACACACACAUAUAUAUAUAUAUAUAUAUAUAUAUAUAUAUAAGUUGGAGGCUAUGAAAAGUAUGAAAGACUUUGGGAGAGUGACAAGCCGGACCCAGCCAACCUUUGUGGUGUUUGUCAUGACUUUGAAGAAGAUUCUUAAGGAGUGGACUUAUGACCCCUUUUUUUAACCCCUUCCCAUUCUGGCAUUCUUUGCAGGUUAUAAUAUACUCUUGUCUCUCUGUUCCCUCUCUGACUUAAAUCACUUUGUUGCUUUGGAGGUUAUCACAAUGAUCUGCCUUUCAUCCCUCUAGAAGUUGUAAAUAUUUGUAUGUGAGAAAGAGAGAGAAAUUUGUCGAAACCACCUUUUUAUGUUGUUGGAUAAGACGUGUUGUUAGGGAAAUGGUUCAGAUUUUUGGGACACUGGCAUGGAGAUGAAGUGGUGGAAAGAAACCAAACUCUUUUUGAGGUGUUUUAAAGUCGAAGCAAGAUGGGACUAGAAUCGUAUUUUAUAUAUUACUUUCUAUCUAUUAAUUAGUUAGUCUAAUUCUAUGUAUGGUUUUAUAGCAUCUCUCUGUCGUCCAUGCAAGUUGGAUACUUCUACCCUGCUCCCUCUUCCCACCAGUUGAAUGUCCAAACAGGCCCAUGAUGUAUCUCCAAGGUCCUUGAGGCAUCUCUCAUGUAGGAUGAAGUAAUUAUUUUUUGAGAAAAGAUAAUGGAAAUUAUUAAAAUGGUUUGCCAAAUGUUUUAAAGGCAUAACCACCUGUGUCAGCAAGAGGAGAUGCACUAACACAUGAAGAAACCAAAUUAGUUAAGAGUGAUUUUUUUAGCAUAAUUUUAGGGACCACAUAACAAUCUGUGUCAGCCCGUAAUAUUUUUCUUUAUUAGUGUGAUCUUAUAAGCCUGUAUUAUUUAUUGUUUAUAUCAGCAUGAUCUUAUUAGAGUAAUUUUAGGGGUCACGCAACAGCUUGUAUCAGCCUAUAAUAUUUUUCUUUAUUAGCAUGAUCUUGUAUUAGCCUAUAUUAUUUUCUUUAUAUAGAAUUUGUACUAGGGCUGAAAUUGGAUAUGGAUCGGACACUAGUAUAUCCAUAUCCAUAUUUGGUUUGUUUGACGAAUACAGAUAUGGAUACGGAUAUUAGUCGGAUGCAAAAAUUUAUAUACAUAAUGGUUUUAAAUAGAUACUGAUACAAAUCAGAUAUUAAAAAUAUAGAUAUAAAUAAGAGUAUAAAUUGAAUAAUUAAACUUUAUGACCACGUAAUCAAAGAUAUUACUAUGUAGAUGAUCAAUCAAGUUAAUAGCAUAUUAACAUGGUCAUUUAUUUUUCUUAAAAGUUUAUGAGUGCUUUAUAAAAUUAUAUAUAGUUACAAAUAGAAUUAGAUAUUUGGAUACGGAUCAAAUAGUUACCUAUCCAUAUCCAUAUCUAUUUUUCUUUGACGAAUAUAGAUGGAGAUACAAAUAUUAGUCGGAUGCUCAAAUUUUCAUUAAUAUCCGGAUAGUUUCAAAAACGAAAACGUAUUCAAACGAAUAUUCUUUGAUCCACUUUCACCCCUAGUUUAUACACUAGUACAUAUAAUCCAGAAGAUGUACAAAUACGAUGUAACAAAAAUAUAAAGUUCUCUCUCACUUUCUUUUUUAUUUUUUCCUUCUUCUGCAACUUAACAUGGUAUUAGAGUCACCAAUUAUCUAAUCUGCCACUGCCAUCUCUUUUAUCUCUGUGUAGCCAUGUUUGGAAGCCUUGAGGACUCCUAUUUUUGAUUUAUCGAUCUCUAUUUCUUAAGAAAUCAACACCCAAAGAUUCGCUAUUAUUUAGUAGAUUCGCAGAUCCUCUAUUCCCAAUAGAUUCUAUGUUUCUUAGUAAAUCAACACCAGAAGAUCAUAUAUUUCCUAGUAGAUCUGAAGAUCAUCGAUUUUAUGGUAGAUUAACACCCAAAGAUCCUUUGUUUUUGGUGGUUCCGUAGCUCUUUACCACUGCCUUUCUUCUCAACUUCAGAUCUUUUGUCGACUCUCCUCAUCGUCGCUCGACCUCUUCUCUCCAUCUCUAGUUUCAGUUACUACAUUCGGCUCUUUCACCACCCAAUUCAAGGCCUCUUCCUCCUCUUUCAUGGUGCCUCCAUCUGUGAGGAUCAUUGACCUUCGGUUUUCUUCUCUUCGGGCAUCGAGUGUCACUGCAACUGCCACCUUCUGUGUGCCUUUUCACAGCCACAUCAUCUAAAGCAGCUAUAAUAACUGACACGACACUCUGCCACAUCAACGUAUACAAGCUACAUUAGCGUAGACAGAGACACGUCAUCCUGCCAUAUCAUCUUUGACCAAUAGUGACAUCCUACCAUGUUAGCUGCCAAGCUUACCACAUCAGCUAUUUUGCAAUGUCACCGCAAUAUGAGAGCCACAUCAGCCACUAAUUUGAUACAACAUUCUACAUUAUGAAAUAUGUCAACCAAACACAUUACUUUGCCACAUCAUGGGGUGCAUCAAUUAGGCACGUCGGCAUAUAUGUCAGUCUCUCACAUCAGUCAAACAUGUCGGCAAAUAUACUAGUCUACCACGUUAGUGGACACGUCGGUCUACCAUGUCAAUUAGCUAUAUUAGCAUUACCAACUAUAUCAAUUUGCUACAUCGGCUCUCUGAUCCGCAAUAUCAGCUUUUAAGAUGCUAUAUCAGCUCUUGAUCUUCCAUGCCAAAUUCUAUGCUGUUACAUCAGCUUGAUAUAUUAAUCUACUACAUUGGCUUUUGAGCUGCUACAUCAGCUCCUAAUCUGCCACAUCCGCUUUUGAGAUCCUAUGAUAGCUCUUAAUAUGUCACACCACCUUUUGAUCUGUUGCUUUAGCCUUUGAGCUGCCAUGUCAGCUCUUGAUUUACCACCAUAUUAGUGUUCGAGCUGCUAUGUUCGCUUCUGGUCUAUCAGGUCAGUUUCUGAGCUACUACUUCAACUUCCGAUCUGCAAUAUCAACUUUUAAAUACUUUCGUGAUUUGAUUUUUAUCAUAAUUUUGGGAAUCAUGUAACAACCUGUAUUGAUCCGUGGUUUUUCUUUAUUAGCGUGAUCCUAUGUCAGCUUGUAUUAUUUUCUUUAUAUAUAGUAUGUACAUUAGAUUUAAACUCGUACCUUGAGGAUCCGUGGUAUACCGAAUGUGAUGAAACAUAAAUAUAAAGUUCUUGCUCUCUCUUUCUCUCUUAUUCUGCAAAUAUUUUAAUAGAUUUAAACUCGUACCUUGAGGGACUUCACCUGCAAUUAGUUAGAAAGCAUUUAAUAAGCAUUUGAUGCAUGUUAUAAACUCCUUAAAUAUAUUAUAUCACUUUUUUUUCUAGUUUAGAAAAUUGAAUUGGAAAUAUAUAUAAUCUGUGCAUUUUAUUCGAAUUCCACACAAGAAGCAUUUUGACAUCAAGUGACAACUAAAUUUUGGACUAAGAUUAUUCCUUGCAUCAAAAUCAAUGGUUUUCAAUGUAAAUUAUGUGCUAUGGCAAUUAGAACUAAUAAUACUCUAAAUUUUCUUUUUUGAAGAAUAAUUAUAGCUAGGUACCCCACCAAUUAUUCAAAUAAUUGAUGCAAGAAUUUUUUGUGUUAAAUGUUUGCAAAAGCUCCUAAGGUUCACAUGCAGAUCAUUAUCCAUCUGAGGAAGGGUGCCAACACUAGAUUAUACCCUAGCUUAUAGCCCUUUAAACAUGUUAAGGCUACUAAACUAAAGUCCUAGCAACUUUUACUCACAAACAACUUUUCCAACUUGUAUUUUGUCUCUGCAUGGUUCAUUCUUCAAGCUAGUUGCAUUAGGUACAUACAAGUCUUAGUGGCGCAGAGGAACACGAUAGAUUUGUAUAUAACCUAUAUGUACCGUAAUUUCCUUUUUUUCUUUUUUCACGUGCUUGUGCAUGCAUGCAAGUUUAUAGUAUAUAUAAACCAUCUCUUUUUCCCUUUUUUUUGUGGGGAGGGGUGGGGAGAAGGAUGGACAAAGUCUAGCCAAAAUUCUGCUGAGGAUGGGAUCGAACCAAGGUUAUAGUAUUCAACAUCUAUAUAAAUCUACUAAUUCAACCAGUUCGUACCUUCAUCUCGAUGGAAAUCUGAAUUAUUUUUUUUAACCUAACAUAACUUUUCUUUUUAUUUAGGAAUUUGUUGGCACUACUAGAGGUUCUCUAUGAAGCAAAUCGAACACAUCCUACUAAAUAGAUGUGCAUGCAUACAGAAGAGUAAAAAGAAAAGAAACUUAAACCGUAAAUUGUCACAACCUAUUUAUUCUUAUAGUUCAAAAGCUAUAUCUUGCACACAUGCUUCUCAUAUCAAGCAGCAUGUUCUUUUUAGCUUUUGUACUACGGAUUCUCAAAUUCAAUCAAUACCAGUUAUUCUUCAUUANNNNNNNNNNNNNNNNNNNNNNNNNNNNNNNNNNNNNNNNNNNNNNNNNNNNNNNNNNNNNNNNNNNNNNNNNNNNNNAUUUCAUUGCCAUUGCCGGAACUCUUCAAGCAGACUCCAUGUACAUUCUUGUGUCUCAUGCUCUAAAGUUAACUUUGAAUGAUACCACUACAACUCACAAAGUCUAGUGAGAAUUAUGAGAAAACAAAAAAUAUGUGCAGAAUAGUCAGCCUUUCAAGAGCUAGCAUAUGCCAGCGGCAGCAAGUGCUUGGAAGAUUACAUCCCAAGAUAACUGAACAUUCCGGAUUCGUAUGAAAGGAUAAAAAGGAGGUGAAGAGGAAUGCAUGAGUGUGGAGUGGGCUAAAAUCAUUGUCUUGGCAGAACUUUUCCUGUUAAGUGCACAAGCUUGUGAGGACCGCAUGGGAUAGAAAACAUACAUUUUUAAAUCCUAGUAGGAGUUUCAUCAAAAAAAUAAUAAUAAUAAUUUCAUCCAAAAAAAAAAUCUACAGCAGGAGUUGUUUUAUAGAGUUUAAUACGAAGAACAGUUCCAAACUUACCUGCUGCAGUGAUCUCAAAACUGACCCAUAGGCCAAGUGUAUGUGUGUUCAUGUAGAUCAUGUUGUAUACUUUCUCAUGAUGAAGCUAUUGUGAUCUGGGAGUCGUCGUGCUGAUACUGAACUUAUUGGUGCAUGUGAACUUCAUGUGAUCUAAUUGAAGAUUGGGAUCUAAGUUGAAGAACCAUCAUGGCAAGGUUAUUGAAGUAGUUGUGGCUCUCACAUGUAUGGGAGGUAAAUAUUGGCAGUCUUUUAGCUUGGAAGAGAGCGUUCACAUUUAGCCACAAAGGCAGAUGAAAAGGCCACCAAACUAUGGAAGGCAGCAGCCACAACUCCAUAAGUGCUCCACAAGCCUCCAUGGCAGGUGCACUUUUGUUUCAGGCGAUCAACAACCAUGAACCUAUAUUCUAUCAAAAUGGGCAUUGAGCUAUGCAACGUUUUCAUGGGAAGUGUCAACAUGAGUAUAGGUGAUUUUUCGAGUUGUAUUUUGUUAUAGCAAAGCUCAACUAGAAAAUUAAAAUGCUGGAGAAAUGUCUGUGCAUGGAGCCCAUGAAUGCUUCCUUAGAGCUGAGAAAAGUCACAAAGCAUUCAUAACUUCGAAGGAAAACAGGGUGUAAACGCAUUGAGGUCACAAGAAUAUUUUAGCUCCACUAAACGGGAACGGGAUUUUUAUAAGGGAUUACAAACCGUAAUCCUAAGACAUCCAAACGCAAUCCCAAAGGAAGGAUUAAUCUUUGUUUAAGUUCACAUGCACAUCCCUUUAGCCUCAAAACAACUCCAAAUCGCAUUAGAAAAUUGCUUAGUGAGUCUUAAAGAGAAGGGAAAGGGUUCUCAAUCGUCACUGUACGUUGUCUGUUUCCUCCCUUCGAAGCGACCUCACUCCUUGCCUUGUGUACAUAUUUAGAUUAAGAUAAAUUCUACUGUAUUGAGAAAGAUACUUUAGCUCAUUAUAGGUGGAAUGAUCAAUCACUCCUAGUAAGGAUAAAGCUCUUAGGCCAAUUGUACCAUGAGACAUUUAAACAGUCCAUGCAUCAUUAUGCUACUAGGAGACCAAGGUCAUUUGUGGCCUUCCUUUGAUGUCCCAGUGCUAGAAGCUAAGGCAUAGUAAUUAUUGGCCUUUGGUCUAACUAUCAUUUUAUAGUUACUUCUACUAAAACAAUUUGUUCUCAUAAUUUGUGGCUUAUUUUUACGCAGAUAUAUGCCUUGUGUAAUAAGCAUUUUCCUUGGUUUGUACGUACUACAUAGAUGGGCUAAGGUCUAAAAUUAAAAUAGCUAUCAAAAUCAAGAGUAGGCAUUAAAAUUUCUGGCCAAUCAAGCCAAAACAUAAAAUGACAAUCAAACCUAGACCAUGAUCAAAAAGACCCCCAAAAGGUGUCCAGUAGGUUACCACUGCACAACAUUAUAGUCAAGAAGGAUGCAAAGAAAUUUCUGUGCAAACUCUUAAUCUACUAUCUACAUGGCCAUCCUUUUGCCUAUUUUCACAUCUUUCAAAAUUUUCAAAUACUUCCAAGACAUCUGUGUAGCCCCAAGUUGAGAAGAGAAUGAAAUCUUUGAUAAAAGGCUUGCAAAUUAGGCUCUCAACUUAGCAGCCCUUCGCAUAAGAUAAGAGAACAAAGUGGCUCUGACCCUCAGACUGUGAGACUUGAUUGUAGUCACAAGUUUGGCAACGCAAUGGGGAGAGUUCAAGUAUAAUUCGAAAUUUCAUAUAGCUAGAACAUAAGCAAGCAUUAAUAAAGUGAAGAAUAAUGUAACAAAUUGUUAUAACUAUAUAUAAAUUCAUGCAAACCAAGCUUGGGAGGACCGGAACAAUAGACAAUAGCAACAUCAUUACCAUCAAUGGCAACAUGCAGCAUAGUUAUAUUGUAAUUCAUAAGUUCUACACAUAUGUCUUGGAGGAUCCACUUAUAAAAUCCAACUUGUGUAGUUGAAAAGUUCUUGAGAAUUAUGUGUACUGCCCUUUGGCACAAGUGCAAUAUAGUUUUUAGCUGUUGAAAUCACCAGUCCUCCCAAAAGCUUUAGCUAACAGGAUGAGACAGGGUUUGAACUUAGGACCUCUGCUCUGAUACCAUGUUAAAAUCACCAAUUGUCUCAAAAGCUUAAGAUGAUAGGAUGAGGUAGAUUUAUUUACAUAUUUUAUAUUUUCUUACAUUAGCUAAUGUCGCUAAUAAUUUGAUCAGAUAUCUGAUUGUUGGUCAAGUUGGAAGGUCAUCGACUUAGAUUUGAAUACUUCAUUAAAUUUGUCACCAAGUACCGGCACAUAAGUGGAAUUACGUCCCCAUUUCAUGGUGUUGUAAUUGCACAGAUUUCUUUAGACUCUUGGAAGAUAGAGACAGACACAAUCAAACAAGUGGACGGUUAGAUAAAUAUCUCCUACGAGUGUACAAAACUCUUUGUGUCCAUGGCUGGAUUUCCAUGUAGCGGUCCCGGGCAUCUAAUGCCCAGUGACCACAUCAACCUAAUGGUCCUAAUUUGCAGCAUUAUAUUAUCUCCUACCUUUCCUUCAUGAUCAUUAAAGGAUCAGCAAUAUUGGUGGGAGCAUCUGAUUGUGGUCCAUCCAUGGGAUGAUACACCUGAACACUGCCGAAUAUCCUGCUGCAAAUGAACCAAGCUCCUCGUCACAUCUGGGGCUUUGAUUAUUUUCUUUUUUUGUUUUUGUUUUUUGUUUUGCUUUUUUGAACAGUCUAGGGCUUUGCUUUAUUAAGUGGCUCCAAGAACCCAUUUGAUUGGAGAACAAACCAAGCUCAAGAGACAUUUUUUGACCAGAUCAAGGUGCGAGUCUAGGGUUUAGACAGUGUCCAAAUUCUCAACUAAUGGAUUAUAUCACUUACAUAUAGUAACCCCCAUGAAUUGUGAUGCCCUUGGUCUUUAUGCAAUUUAAGAACCCAUGAUUCACAAGAGAUAUGUCCCGAGUGAGGUGUAUCAUGCAAAAUCUACAUUUGUAGAGUUUUUGGCAAAAUAAAUUAUAAUUGAAAUGAGAGAAUUUCAACUCCGUAAAACAAAAGCAAUUCAUUAGCCCUUUUUUUGGGGGCUCAGUUAGAGUUUGUAAAUCAUAAUUCACUUUGUCUAAUGAAUAGAAAUUACUGAAUAUAGGGUGGAGAAUUUUAUUUUAAUUAAUUUAUAAAAAUUAAUAUCUUAUACGAAUUUUUUUUGAGACUUAUAGAAUGUUUGUUGCUCGUUGUGAAUCACCAAGAGAUAAGAGAUAAUACUUAUUUUUUUCAUAUUUAUUGCAUCAUUUCCAAACAACUUUAGAAAACCUAAGAAAAAUACAACAUGCACCAGAAAGAAAAAACAUGAAAAAAAGUAUUUUAUAUAGAACUCUUAGUCUGUCCAUCUCUUCGCCUUAAAGAAAGUUCCACCGCAUACCAAUAUCUUGUAACAAUUUACAACUAGAAAAUAAUAAAGAUAAAACAUUUUAUUUUAAACCUCAACCAGCCAAUUAUUGUGGUGCUUUGUUGGCUGAAGUGUCUGUGAGAAUGUAUCCGACAAAAAGACAUACGCUUCUUAGUAAAAAGCAUAUUCUCGCAUCUUUUCUGAAAAAAAAAAAAAUCUAUCCUAAACAAUGCGGACUUCUUUAUAAAUAACUAUCUAAAUCUCCAUAUAGGUUGACUUGUUAGUGCAAAAUAUGAUCAAAAACUGGGCUUCAUUGUAUUCUAAAGGUUUAUCACAUAUUCUUCUUGCGUACUUGAUUGAUGAGGAUGGCUAAAAUUUUUAAAAAUUGCAGUAGUACAUGUCUCGAAGCCAUCCCCUUCCACAAGCUUUUCUAAUUUUUCCUUCUUUUUGCUCCAACACCCACUAAACUUUUAAAACUGCAAAAGGAACCGUUGGAAUUAAGAGGGAAAGAAGCUAAUCUAAAAGAAAAAAAAAAAGGGGGAAUAGGAUUAGAGGCUGGACAGGCUUAUGCGUUUAUUGGAAUGUGUGGAUGAACAGUGGGGAGGGAGGGGAUAAGGUAUCUCGCACCCCAUAAAACGGGAUGAGAUAGAGUCAGUACAGCCUUGGGUUGGACUCUCCGUCUGUCACUGAUUGGGAUGGGAUGAUGUAUUCAGCUAAAGAAAUCUGAAUUGGGCUGGGUGCCUUUGACGUGUGGUGAUUACUGCUAUGUCAUCAAAAUCCCAUUUAAUUUUCUGGCACAACUGCCCCUCUUCCCUCUUGCAGCCAGUCCCCCAAAUUAAUUCCCCACCACAUGCUUUCCUGUCCUAAUCUCUCUCUCUCUCUGUGCACACACAAGAAGCACACCUUUUUUAAUGGCAUUGAAUAUGUAAAGCCACAAAAGCUUGUGAUUUGUUGAAUGUCUUGAUUUAUUGAAAGGUCAGAACCAAUGAGUUCAGUUGGUGAUGUUAAGGAUCGACAGGAGACAUCAGGAAUUUGAUCCUUUGGGGAUGUGGCCCAUAAGUGUUUGUCUCAUGCAUUGGCAUGUCACCAUUUUCUUUUCCUCUUGUUAAGGCAAUUCAUGAUUAGAAAGUUAGAACCAGGAUAACUAAGUUCUUUAUAUAUGUAGCUCUAUGAUUGAAUUAACUUUAUAUUGGAAAAAAAUAGAAUAGCUUUGUACUAACAUUUCUAUGAGAAAGCCCAACCAAAGGUAAUAAGUAUUUUGUUAGGGUGUAGUGCUUACGGUAUUUUUAAGUUAACCGUUCUCUUUUCAAAUAAGUUGUUUAAACAUGAGAAAUUAGGUUGUUUAGCCACUUCAAAAAUAUAAUAACUAUUUUGAUUGCAUUUCAUAACAUUAAUUGAGUUGAUAUUUUUUUUAUAAGAAAAAAGAAAGAAAAAGAUGAAGAAAGAAAGAAAGGAAAAACUAUACCAAGUAUUUCUAAAAAUUGCUUUUUUGAAUAAGGACUUUAUAAUUAAUUAAGCUUGUUAUUGUUCACAAAAACAAAGGGGCAAAAAAUCCAAGGAAAAGGAUCUUUGAACGAGGCUAAGUAGAAUAAAGAAGCAGAUAGUGAAGAAUAAAGUGAUAUAGGUGUAAAAGAUAUGAAGCAAAAAGAAAAAGAGACUAAUUUUUAAAAAGUAUAUGCAAAAAUAGGGAUUGAUGAAACAACAUCAUUCUAUGCCAAAAUUCCAUAUAAAAGUUUUCGUGUCCUCUUCUUUCUCAAAACAUAUUCCAGUAUCUCUACGAAUCUUGUUCUAAAGAGCAUUCUAAAAAAUAAAAUAUAUCACGAUAGCGAACAUUCUUUGAGACCUAGGAGACAUUUGGAUGAUAUAAAGCUAGAAGAAUAAUGCAUGUCGAGACCAGUUUAUGCGCAUUAUUUAGUAUGUCUUAGGUUGCGGGCCUUAGCUAUCCCUGUCUCAUCUUUCAAAGCUGAAUAGUUUAACAUGAUUACACACUCAUGUUUUUGUUCAAUCUUCUUUUUAUUUGGUAGGGUCCCAAGAAAUUAAAGUUAGGACACAGAAACCAAUUGCUGUCUAUUCUAAUCUUGGGCAUGGUUAAUAAUAAGCCACCAAAAUCGUCCAAACAAUCAUAAGAUGUUUGACAUAAGCUGAAAUGACUUGAGUCCCAUGACACAUGUAUGGAAUAAUUCUUUGCAGUCUUGACUCUUGGCAUGUGCUAACCAAAGGUACAAAAACCAAAAAAAAAAAAAAAGCCUUGAGACAGAACUAAUGUCUGAAAUGGAAAGCACUAGUGAAUUCCCUUGAAGACUUUCUUCUAUCUUCCAUCAACUCAUUGCGUAUUUGAAACUUCCACCCCACCACCAACUUGUGAGGUGCACCAAUCUUCAUCUCCUAAGCAGAAAUGGUUCACCAUGCAAUGAUGCACUGAAUUAAUCCAAGGACAUUACAGUCAUCUCAAUAUUCACAAAAAAAAAAGAAAGAAAUAAAAAAACUUAUGUUCAAUCGCUUUAUAAGCAACAGAAAAUGAAAAAAAAUCUUGUAUUUAAUUUCUUCAUGAGUGGAAUAUGAUCCAACACCACAGCAUUUAAUUCUAUCCCAUGAUCAUCUUCACCAGCACCUGUCCCACUGUCCUGGCCGGACUGUUUAAAAGCUCGGGCUCUUGAGGAAUGGAAGGAGAACUUGGAGCUUGUGAGCGGUUUUUGGUUGUUUGACCGUGGCCAUUUUUGUCCACUCAAGCAUAACAAAAAAGCUUUGUCAUUUUAUUUUCUUNNNNNNNNNNNNNNNNNNNNNNNNNNNNNNNNNNNNNNNNNNNNNNNNNNNNNNNNNNNNNNNNNNNNNNNNNNNNNNNNNNNNNNNNNNNNNNNNNNNNNNNNNNNNNNNNNNNNNNNNNNNNNNNNNNNNNNNNNNNNNNNNNNNNNNNNNNNNNNNNNNNNNNNNNNNNNNNNNNNNNNNNNNNNNNNNNNNNNNNNNNNNNNNNNNNNNNNNNNNNNNNNNNNNNNNNNNNNNNNNNNNNNNNNNNNNNNNNNNNNNNNNNNNNNNNNNNNNNNNNNNNNNNNNNNNNNNNNNNNNNNNNNNNNNNNNNNNNNNNNNNNNNNNNNNNNNNNNNNNNNNNNNNNNNNNNNNNNNNNNNNNNNNNNNNNNNNNNNNNNNUCUCUCUCUCUCUCUCUCACUCACUCACUUCUUCCAUCCCUUGGUGAUUUUCUUUGUUCAUGCCCCUGCCUCCAACUCUUAAGUUCUUAUCAUACCUUCAUCUUGCCAUGGAAUUCAAUAUUGGACAAUUCAUCACAUAUCACCUCUAAGUCACAGGUGGGAUACCAUGGUUUCCUUGUGGUAAUCUCCAUGCCAUUCUCUUCAUAUCCUCUGUCUUUAGAAGAACAGUUCAGUUCCGGUUAACCUCUGCAGCCAGUCUCCAUACUCCGUUUGUUUUGCUUUCAAGAGUUUAAUGGAGAGAGAGAGAGAGUGGGGGAAAGGUGGGUACGUUUUGUCUUAGGUUCUUCAGCGUUCGGCGUCGUUGCACGGCUCCAACCUUCACAUGGAGUUGUUCUGCUUCCGUUCUUAUGUUGUACUUUGAGACAAUGAAAUGAGCAUUCGAAGACCAGGUCCUUGGGCACUGUUCAAGAAGUUGUUGUUUUCCUCAUGACUGGAAAAAGUUUACCCCCCAACACCCGCACAAGAGACUUCUUAGGUUAGGUGUCUUUGGGUCUUAAGACUCUGGAUCUUGCUGAACCCUCAAAGGACAAGAUCAAGCACCGGGUCUACAAUUUACAAAGACUUUUAUUCUCAUUCCAAUUCCAUAGCGCCUUUCUUAUUCUUCCCCUUGCAUAGAGUUUUUGCAAGCAAAAGACCCAGCGCUCUUCUUCCAUGUGUUUCCCAUUCUGUUUGCGAGGCUCAUGAAUCUUACAAGGCUUACAAGUAUCUAGUCUUCUUAUCUAUCUUCCUCCUCCGUUCGGUUUUUAAGGUUGGGAAUAGUUUGGAGAGUAUCCAUAUAAGGUUCUCUAGAAUCUCAGAGCUUCCAAUUUUCCAGUGUCUUUCUGCCAAAACCGAAGAAAAUGGGCAAGUGGGUUCAUUAUUAGUUUAUUUAGAGUCCCAAGAAUCUCAGACCCUAGUCGCAGCUGAUAUUUUUCUCAUUGGAGUGGUCUAAUUCUCUCUGUCCUUGACCUUUUCCUUUUGGUGUCCAGGCCAUAAAAGAGCAGUAAAAAAAAAUAAGAAUUAGCACAGAGAGAGAGAGAGAGAGUAAGAAAGAAUGGAUCUUUCUGGCCAUGAAGGGGAGAUCCCAAUCCCAAUAAGCAGCACAUAUGUUGGAGGCCAUGGUCAGAGCCAUGGCCACUCCAUCAUCCAUGAUGCCCCUCCCCUCCACCACCACCCUCCUAAUGGACCUCCCCCUCCCCUGUCCGCAGCCACAUCGGAGGAGCAGCAGCGCCACCCUGGCAACCCCUACAGCACUAAGAAAGGAGUGGUGGUGAGGUACAGGGAGUGCCUCAAGAACCAUGCAGCCUCCAUUGGUGGCAGCGCCACUGAUGGCUGUGGUGAGUUCAUGCCAAGUGGUGAGGAGGGCACGCUGGAGGCCUUGAAGUGUUCUGCCUGCAACUGCCACAGGAACUUCCACAGGAAAGAGGUAGAAGGGGAGUCCUCCUCCUGUGACUGCUUCCACUACCUCAAGGGGAGGAAGGUGGUGGGCCAGAAGGGGCUCUUGAUCUCAGGACCAGAGGCAUUUGGCUAUGCUCCUGCCGGCAACAGUCUCAUUCCAAGGGCAUCACCACACCAUAUGAUCAUGCCCCUGGGAGCCCUGCAGACCUCUGAAUCUGAUGAUAUGGAAGGGUUCGGUGGUGGGGCCAUGGUGAGGCCUCCCAUGGUGAAGAAGAGGUUCAGGACCAAGUUCACACCAGAGCAGAAGGAGAAGAUGCUGAGCUUUGCUGAGAAGGUGGGGUGGAGGCUCCAGAAGCAGGAGGAGAGUGUGGUGCAGCAGUUCUGCCAGGAGAUUGGAGUGAAGAGGAGGGUCCUCAAGGUGUGGAUGCACAACAACAAGCAUAACUUGGCUAAGAAGAGCCCCCCUCUCCAGCUUGAAUGACUACUGAUUCCACUCCCUCUCUUGGUUUUCCCCUGACUCUUUUUAAGUUUGAUGGUUUUCCAAUGGCCCAUGCUGAUUCUAGAGGUGGAUUUAGAUGGUAGAAUGUUGUGACAGACUAUCCUUUCUUGUGUUACUCUUUCAGAUUUUUAUCUCUCUUGUCAGUUCUCCAUUGGCAAGGCGAUGUAGCUUAUGGAGUUUGGUAGACAUGAACCAUGGGCUCUUUUUUUCUUCUGUUAGUGGCUAUGAAACUUAGACAUUGGUCAUUUCAGUAUUUCACUAUGAAUCGCGCAUGGUACUUUCAUGGACUUUCUACAGCUGAUGAGGAAGAAGCCCCUUGAUGAACUGCUGUUUGUUUUAGUCCCUCUAUUUUCUUUCAAACGAGGUUCCUCUGAAUCCAUGAGAAGAUAAAUUGCAAUUUCAUUUGGAGUGUGGGAGUCUUCCAACUUCCUUUCUUCUUAUAACUCUGGAGUUAAUAGGCUGUGCCUUGUCUCUCUUUGUAUGCUAGCUAGAAUUUUAGAAAUGUUUUGAGUCCAUCUGGAAUUUCUCUUCAAAUUACUUGUUUGCUGUCUUGUAUUGUUAGACAUCUUUUUAUUAUGUACGUGACAAGGUUUCUUGCAGUCAUUCUAAUCGUUUCUCCUUUCAAAUACUACAUGAAUGAACGGUCAAAUGUAGGCAGUUUUCUACAUUUUAUUAGAGAACAAGCAAAAGAGCAAGAGGACAUUGAACAGCACUAAUGUUCUAAAAAUGCACUCCCACCUACCAACUCCCCCUCACCCCAAAAAAAAGGAGGACACAAAAGAAGGUAAAGCUUAAUGCAUGAGAAAGUUUUAGCCGUUAAUUAUGUGGAACUUGUCUAUAUAAUUUUAUACAUAGAGUAAUGUAAGCAACUCUGACUCAAGUUCUUAGUAACUACUUCAAGCUUAUGCUCGUCACAACCAAGAGAGUGGCCGGGGAAAUGGAACUGGUCAUUGGCAUGACAAAGAACAAAGCUCUGGAAUAUGGUAGCAGUAUAGACAUGGAGGAUUUACUAAAACUCAUGACAAUGAAGCAAGAGAGCUAGUAUUACAUGUUUUCAACUAUAUAUUACUUUUCCUAAAGUAUAAGACAAAAAAAGGAAAGUUGGUUAAUAUUAAAAAUCUUCAUCAAAGUAUGAAGAUCAGAAAAGCAUGGUCGACUGCAAGCAUAAAUUUCCAUGCUAAUUUCUCCUGCUCUGUCUUCCCUCAGAAAGCAAGGGAUGUAUUUACCCUGAGAAUUUGGUAAGGUAUUCUCAUCAAGGAAAGAGAAGAUAGAUAUCUUUAUGAAGAACAGUAUCUGCAAAAGGAUAGAAAUGGUCGAUGGUUACGAGUAAUGAUUCAACGUACCAGCCAUGUCUUUCAGAGCAACUAAGGUUGCCAUCUUUGUUCCUCAAAGUGUCUUCAAUUCCUAUCAAGGUGGAAAGAGCCUCAUGACUGGAUUUUAUCAGAGGCAUGUGGGAUGUGAUUGCUGCCAAGGCAAGCCUGCACAGUCCUGCAUGUUCUGCCAUACGAGGCUUCUGGUUGGCUAGAGGAAGCAAGGAACCAAGAAGCCAACUACCAUGCAAUACUUGUUCAUUGAGAGGCUAGUAAUUUGUUCAGACCAUCUCAUGUUCCUCUGCCUUUUGACUGAGACUACAAAGUAGAAAUAUCACCUACUUAGUUCAAACAAGCAAGCUUUGAUGCUUUUCUUUUAUUGCAGCGAUAAUGGAUGCGAUUUGCUUAAUUCGCUGCGACUUGAUGGCAGAUCAUCUAAUAUUCCUUCUACUGAGCUAGUUCUUCGCAUUAACGAGUCGAUAAAGAUUUAUUCACGAUGCUAAUGGCACGAUUUGGUUCACUAACAUCAGAUGGGAUUUUUUUUUUUUCUCAUUGUCAAUUCAUGCUCAUGCAACUCUCUCCGGCUACAAAGAAUCAAUUAAUUGUAUAGAGGCCACCUAGCUCUCUAGAUAGUCCUCUCCUCCCAUGAUCUGGGAAUAGACAGUAGCAGUUUGGACUGGCUCACAAGCAAGUACAGGGGCCCAUGGCCUUGGUGAAUGGUACGAGAAACCCUCCGCAUCCAUUUAAUGGCAUUUACAACAAAGGUUGGAGACACUGAUGGAUGCCACAAGAGCACAAUCCAAAACCAGCAUGUUUUUCUUUUCAGCUGCUACUCUAAUUUGAAAUCUAUGUACAACUUAACUGUGAGCAAGGCUUGAUGUUGUUCUUGCCAACAUGGGAUGACCCUAAGGAUUAAAGACUAGAAAUCCUGUCUAAAAUUUGAGUGGUCAGUGAUUUCGUAAUUCACACUAAAAAACUUGUGUAUUCAGUAGAAGGCAAAUGAAGGUUUCUAUCCAGGUUGUACAGAGUUAUGACCCUAAAAAGCGAAAACAAGGAUGUUACGUAAUGGUUUUACAAUAGAUUUGGGAUCCCCUGCAGUGCGCCGCUGAAGGGUGCUAUACUAUGUUGGAUGGCCGCCAUCAGGAGAUGAACGGCUAUCAACAACAGCAUCCCGUGUGUGGCAUGUAAAGCCAUCUUCUAUGAUAGCCAUCAAUCUUCUAAUUACAGCCAUCGAGCAUGGUACAACACUUUAUGGUGCAGUCCGUGCAUCAUAAAGGAUCCAUGCUCUUUACUAUAUGCUUUUGUUUUUGGUACUUUCUCAUUCAGUAGGAAGUUGGGAGCAUUUUCAUGAAAAUUGAAAGUUGUGGUCAUAAUAUUUUUAUUUCAGAUAUUUUCAGGAUAAUAAUCUGAUGGUUGAUUGCACCUCUUGAGUUGUUGCACAAUAGGGAUUAAUAACAGCUCACACAGGAGGAAAUUGGUGUUUCUACGAGGAGAUAUAUGUUUACUGCUGUUUUCACUUUUCUAAUGCAUCUACAUUGAAUACAAAUUGAUGCGACGAAAUAAUAAAUAACUAAAUCUUAUAAAAGAAAUUUCUAUAAAGUGAUUCACUGUUGUUAAGCAUGAUAUAUAUUAUUGACCUUUUCACUAUCAGCUUGAGCUUUUGGGAUUAAUUGAUUGCUUAGCAUGGUAUUAAAGCUCAAGUUUGCCAGAGGUUGCCGGUGUAAAUCCCUCGUGCUCAACAGUUAGUUUUCAAUCUAUGAAACACAGUUCAUGCGAUCAAGCGACAUUUGCCUCACAUAUCAUCGAAAAGAAACUAUUAUUUUACAUCUCCAUUAACUCUAUAACAUGCUCCUUUUAUAGCUUUGAUAAUGCCAACACAGUAUAUAUAUGGUCAUGAGACAUAUUUGUCUCACGUAUCAUCUAGAAGAAACUAUAUGUUUAUGGAUCUAUUAACUCUCGGCGCAUGCUUCUUUUAUAGGUUUAAUAAUGCUAAAGAUUGGCAUACCAAACACUUCAAGCCAAUAUUGUUAUAAUUCUUAGAGAGAGAGAGAGAGAGAGAGAGAGGGAGGGAGACUCAUCGGUAUUAUAAUUAACCAAACUUCAAAGUUGUGGGAUGCACUACUCAAGAUUCAAACAUGGAGUCAUUAACACAAGGCCCAAUAUAUAAAGAACUUGAUAUGGUCACUUUGUAAGAAAUGCAUGGCCACUAUUUCAGUGGUUGGUUACUUAUCAUUCAUACUCAUAAACAUCAAGUUAAUUUAAGAUCCAGUUGAAUCAAGCCAAGUUCAUUAAGUCUCACUUGAUUUGCUAACAACUUCUCUUACCAAUAUAUUAUAUUGGCAUCAUUUACCAGUAUCCUAGAAACAUAAAUUUAUUGAACAAAAUAUGUAUAUAUACAGGAACAAGAUAAAAGAGAGAACAUUGCAAAUCAAACUGAUACUGGGAACCUUUGCUUCCCACCAAAUUCUCAGAUUUUUUUUUUUAAAAAAAAGAAAGGAUGAAAGGGGAAAAGAAGAAGAGGAGGAGGAAGCAAGCAAAAACUUGAAAGUUAACUCAAUUUCCCUAAAUCACAGAGACCUGGUGAGCAUACUUAGAGGAAUCAUAAACUCAGUUGCCAGGGUGCCAUCCAAACAUUUAUUUGGAUGGUCAGGUACACCAGCCAUUGGAUAUCACACCAGAAUAUCUUUACUUUUCAGAAAACAAUAAUAUAUCUUGGGACACAUCCAAGGUCAGCAAAUUCUACCUUCACACUUAACCUCAAAACUUUUCUCAAUUCUUUUUUCUUCUUUGGAAAGGAAAUAUUGCACUCUAACAGGUUGGGACCAUUGGCAUGUGAUGUUUCUUUCCAAAGUCAUAAUCUUUUUGUAUUUAUUUUCCAAAUUUUUUCAGUCUAGCUUUCUUGACCCAAGCAAUUGCAAAUUGCAAGCCCUGGGGAAGAAAGUUACCACAGAGUUACCUUCACAGCAACCAAUGUCAGCACUGGACACCCAUCAGACGACAGAUGUAGGGCCUGCAUCCAGUGUCAUGAUGGAGACUGCUGCGCCACACCUAAUAAAUUGUAGACCUUGGUAUUGGACUAUAGAUACAUAGAAUACCAAUAAAUCAUCUACUAAGUCAUUAGGCAACUAUUAGUGUCAUCAUUACAUGCCCUGUUUAGUGGUAGAGACAAACUUAAGUUGGGCACAUGUGCACCUAAGGGCUGCUCUAAUAUUAGCAUACUAUAUGAUCGAUUGUAAAACAGGAGAAUGUAGAAUAUAUGAUUGUCUUAGGGCUGUUCUUCAUAGGCUUAGGGGUGUUCAUUAUAAUAAGGGUUGGGAUUAUAGGUAAACAAUAGGGAUUAAAUGGUGUUUCCAUGAUCUGCACUAGUUUAUAACAGUCUGCACUUGAUUCCCCCUAAUAUCUUAAGGCAACUAGGUGGCUGGUGGAACUGAUGGUCUUAGUUGAAGGGGAAAAGAAAAGGUAUCUAUGCUUACAGUAGAAAUACCUAGCAACUUUAUAUAUUGUACCUAAAAUAGUUUGACAUUAGUACUAUACAUUAUUAAGAAAUAUGUAUAUGCUAAGUUUUAUGUCUCAGAUUUCUUAUAUGAAACGAUCCUUUUAAAUCAUCUCAGGAUAAUGGACCAUUAAAUUCUUCCUGAUUUUAUAUAAAUUAUUUACAAAUAGAUUGAAUUAUUGUUGUUGGUUUUAAACAGAGUGGAACAGAGGAAAAGGAUUCAUGUAGCCAACUGCAACUAGUUUGGAAUUAAGGCUUAGUUGAGUUGAGCCGAGUUGUAUCCAAUUGUUGUUGUGUUUUGUUGCCUCUGUCUCCUCCAUGCUUUUAUGUCAUUUGCUUCUAGCUCUAUAUAUUCAAUAAUUGUACAUCCUAUUACAUUUACAUAUUAUUUACAUAUGGUUUAGAUACAUCCACAAAUUGUGACAGAUUUUUCACUUGCCAAGUCAUCCCAAAUAUAAAAUUGGGACACUAUAGAUAUGAUAUGCAAACAUAGUUUCCAGGCUGGGAAUUCUGAAGCAGUUUUAAAACCAAAUGUGAAGAAUGAUUCACGUAACAGCACUGCAUUUUGAGUAUAUAAACACGCAGUGUUCUUACCCGAAAAAAGAUAUUCUAGCAAUAAUACAUGCAACCAAGACUAUUCUCAAUUUACUUUUACGUGAAUCAUCUCAAUGUACUUGUUCGCACUUCAGUUCAAGAUAAACUCAAUUAUUGCUAAUAUCCACUGAUAUCUAUGAUUUGUUAUAAUAUCUAGGUUUCUUCGUUUGAUCUUCCCCAUCUUUUAUUCUGUCAAAUUUUCCAUUAACAUUUAUGGCCUCUUGUGCCAGGUUUUUGUUAUAUAUGAUUGCUUCAUACUACUAAGAUCAACUAUAGACAAUUUAAGGACUCUUAUGUUCUCAAAUCCUCCUACCGGUCGUUUACUUCUAUUCAAAUUCCAACUUAAAAACUAUGCUGUGGUGUUUUGACCAUCGACAAUUUCUGCCAGGAAGAGGACGAUACCUUUUUAUGUUCAGAUACAGAUAAAUGGUGACAGAAAGAGCUAUGGACAUGGGCAUGCAAACAGGCAAGGGGUAAGACCUUGAACAAAAAUUGAUGAACAGAGUAUGAUAUCCUGACAGCUAUCUUGUUCAAUGAUCUCAUUGCAGCAUCAGGCCAUGGCAGCACGCCUUCACCAGACCACUUAAAUCCCCACAGUAAAUACUUUAUGGUAUGGUUGGCCCUCGGCAGGUUUAGGUAAGGGGUCAUCACGAGUGGAUAUAGCAUGGCAGUAAGGUAAGUCAUCUAUAAACAGUACAGUUACUAGAACAAGUGGCAAUUUUGGACAAAGGAAGAAGGAACAACUUCACUUGGUAGAAUUUUGAUUAGAGAGGAAAAGGAGUGGUUGACCAUGAAUUAGGCAAGCUAUUCCGGGUAACCAUGCAAGAUAGAUAAGGCCAUCGAUGUUUGUCAGGAAUUCGAGGGCCCUGAAAUCAACCCAUCAAGGCAAUUAUUAGUUAUUCAAGCUAACGUCUCAAGUUUCAGACUGGUAGUGAUUGCUCUCAUGGUGCAAACCCAAUUAUCACAACAGGCACUGUUGCCCAAUUCAUCUAUAGCAUAGUUCCUGGAUUUGAAGCAGAUGAACCUAUGAAUGGAAGCAAAUUAGAAGUUCGCAAUAGUGCAUGUUCGUUUUGUUGGCUAAGCCAGUCGAUGCAUUAAAACAGAAGCACAUGAGACAGUGAAAUGUCUAGUUUCACCGUAAACAAUCUUAUCACGCUGCGAGCGCAGUAUCCUGUUUAGGAUAUCCCUAAAUAAGUAAACGCCCCCGUUCAGAAGACGUGUGGCAACGGAAGGCCAAUUGGAGUGAGUUGUGAAGAGAUCGUUUUCCAGCCAAAUCGACAAAAUCUUGAAGUGAUCGACGAUCAAGAAUGUCAUGUUCCGGAUUUUUAUUGCCACAUAGAAGCCAAGCUUCAUGGGCCUUGUUCGUGGCAUGUGUUUUUUCAGACUGGAUGUUCCUAGUAUGGGUUAUCCAACCUAGAGUUGUGUCAUGUCCGUAUUGACCAUGACAUGCUGUGCUUCUCUGUCGGGAAACCUAGCGUCAUUUACCCAAAACAAGAGGAGUUAUACGUACUGCGAGAGCAAUCACGUAAAGAGAGCCGCCAGAAAAAGGUGAAAGGUGAGGCUCAGGAUAAAACUUUAUCAUCAGGCACUCGAAGCAAUUUUCCUGAACAGGGUUCUAAUUACUGGUCCCAAUUGUGAAGGCCCUAACGACUGAUGGAUUUCUCAGCUCUGAUUGCAAACUAAAGAUCCUUGCACGGAAGAUCAAGCUUUUGUAUUUGCAUUCUUCCAUAGCCUCUGAUAGAAGUCUAUCACUAACCAAUACUCUAACCAAUACUUGUGCAUGAAUGGAACAGUAAAGGCUACAGAUCAAAAGAAUCACCAGAUAUUUGAAUAUUAAUCUGGAAUAGUUCAUAAUAUAGUGGCAACAGGAAAGUCUACAAACAAAGAAAAUAAAGAUAUCAAACCUGUAAUUAAGUAUGGACUACUGACAACCAUGGUAAGAUGGCUAACCUGCAAACCAAGUUAUGAAAAAGGUACAUACACGGAUAACUUCAGUACUGUUGGGAAGCUCUAACAGCUCCCAUAACAUAUCACAAAACAUACCACUUAAUAACUUGCAGCUAAAAAGGCUUCUAUUAUGAACUCAUAGUUUCCUGAGUACUAAAUAUAGUAUUAGUACAAAAUCUUCUAAAGAGAAAAGAUAAAAACUGAAAAGUCAGGAAGGGAAGGGCUCACAAAAAUUGUGUUAGGUGAGGCUGUGGAGGUAGGAAUGUAUCAACUCAUAAGUUCAUAAUGACAUUUUACAUCUUCCAACAGCAGUUUGUUUCCAAGCCGAACACGGAUGAAUUUCUUGCCGCUUGCUGUUCAGAAAGAUCUAGAGCUAGGAACGGAAUUUGAGGUUAGGGUGUCUAGAUACAAUGUGAAGAAAUGGAACAAUAUCUGGAGUAGUCGUGACUGUCAUCUCAGUUGAAGUGCCAGUUUCAAGUGCAGAUUGCCAGUUCCACUUGCGAUUGUGAUAUCUAAAGCAUGAGCUGUCUCAGAUUGCUAUUUUUAUGCAUGAUAACCAUAGCAUUACUCUUCUUUUAGCCCACAUAGCCGAGCUCUCCCAGGAUUAAGCAAUGACUCCGACAUAAUCCAUCCCUUUAAAAAAAAAGGAAAUCCACAUUGUGAGAAUAGGUUAAAAACAUUUUCAGACAACUGAGUCUGGAGAUUGAAAUAGAAAUAAGAGGAAAGCUGAAGAUUAACAAAUGUUAUAUUGCAGUAUUCAGAGCCAUAAAUGGACCAAGCAGUGGAUUGGGAUUGAUGGACCAGCAAUAGCAACAAAAAUGCUUGAUCUGUAUGACCUGAUCUCUCAUCCAGGUCACCAUGUAUUACUAUACCUGAGAAUAGGCAGAGGCUGAUGAUCCAUUUUAAAUCUAUCUAAGUGGUCAUGAGAGAAACAUUGUAUAACUGCUGGACAACGAGCUCUUUGAAAAAGCAAAAAGGAUGCUUACCCCAAAAAAAGGCAAAAAAGGAUCAUAUCAGAAACAAACCGUUAAACAGUUAAACAUACUCCCAUUAUUUGAUAAAUACAGUCCCUGUCGUUUGUGUGUUUCUGAGGUACAUACCUAUAGAACCGAGGAUAAUGGAAGCAUAUCUAGUGGAACCCCCUUUUUCGGGGAAAGGGUAGCAGUUGUCAAACCAUUGCUUUUAUAAGUUAUGACAAAUUAUUGUAAGUCAACUUACAUCCUAAAUUGAAAGAAGUUCCCCAUUGAACAACCAAAGAACCACAAAAAUCACAUACUUGUAAUUGCAUGACAGAUUAUUUGAUUGACCAUACCUUUUAGGUUGCCUGUGGAAGAUAUAAAGAUGAUUGAACCAAGGUUCUUUAAACACCCAGUUAAAGGGAAAAAUAGUAUUCUAAAAGAUGGCUGCAUCAUGUAGGCAUGUAGGGAGCCACAUAGUGAUUAGGAGUGCAGGGAUUUAGGGGGCUACCGAGGCAAAUGAUCAUAAAAAUAUUUAAUAUUAACUCGAGUUAUUAAUAUAAAAAAUUAGAUAUAAACGAAAAUUUUAAGAGAAACAGUGUAUAUCAAGGGAACACUAGUACGUUAUUUAGGGACCUAACUCUGCAUAGUGUGGCAUGUUAACUAGUAAACUAGCAAUUAUUCCUACAAGUUGCACAAUAUUUCUGAUCAAAAAAGCAUGCUCAAAACUUGAGUUAGUGCAACAAGUAAUUCUAUUACAAAAUAAAUAAUCAAUAAAGUUAGAAAAGAGACAACUAAUUAAGAAUUAAUGAAAACUGCAAGUAAGGUGUUAGGAGAGCUGCCCAUGCUAAGGAGAGCUGCUAGGGUGCUCACUUGGAGGCAAAGACACAUGAGGUCAACCUAGGUGGCUAGCAACUAAGCCUAGGCAGCCUUUAUAGUUAACUAAAAUAGCUGUCUUUAAAACAUGCCAAAAAUGCAUAUACUUCCUUUUUCUUUUUAUGGAGCACUCAAUUACAUCCGACAUGACCCUAUCUGGAACAUUGGUCUUGCACAAGCGACGCGCAAGAAUGCGUGCGCGCGCACCCACACACACAAAGAGAGAGAGGGGGAGGAGAGAGAGAGAGAGAGGCAUCACAUGUCCACAAAAAUGAGAGGGAGGGUAGAAAUUAGAUUCAUUAGUUGAUCAUGAACUAAAGCUCCAAGUGGCAGAGCCACAACCAACUCAGUCCAAGUAUCAAAUGCAGUUAUACCUAAUAUAUCUUGAGGUUCAUAAUAAUUACCUGUCAGCCACUAUUUCAAAGCUGAACAUUUUUUUGAAAAAAAAGCAGUUGCUACAUGUCAAUGAAUGCAUCUACAGAUAUAUGAAACAUAGAUUGAUUUAUCUUCCAUAUAUAGUCUUAGAUUAUAUUUCACGAAUAUUUAUACAUUUUCCAUAUUUCUGCUAAUAAUUAUUGAACAUUCGAACAUUGUAUUGUUAACAAUAUCAUAAGCUUAUCAUCCUAAACAAAAUCAUCAAGUUCCUCAGGGUCAAAUCCUGUAAAAAUCAAUAGCACUUUCACGGUUCAUCCCAUGGUUUACACUAAAAAACUAAUAUAGCAUUUCCUUUUGUUACUUCUGCAAUUUAUCAUUUUCUUUUUGUUCCCUUAUGAAACUAAGGGAACAGGCAUAUCCAGUAAAUUUUUGAAGUGACCACGUGAUUCCAUUUUUAGACAAUUAAACCGCAUGAUUUUCACCAAGUAUUCCUGAUCACGUUACAUACCUUUUUCUUUAUGUGCAUCAAUGCAUAGACCAACAGGAGCAUAACAGUAUAUAACAUAACACUGCAGGAAUUGUGCAUAUAAGAUGAAUGCUAAUGUGUAUAAGCAACAUCAAAAUCUUAAAUUCACCGACAUGUUACCUGUUCUGCUGCUUUCUUCUUGAAGUCUCCAUACAACAAUGAAACAACUUGCAGGAUUCUGCAAUAUGAGUCUCGAAGUCUAGAGCUGUAGGCAUUGCACAGUUGCGUAAGGAUUCUGUGAAACCGAUGUGUUUUCUUGAAGACUGGUUCACAUUUGAUGAACGGAUAAAAUGCAGAAGCACAUGAGCCUGUAAUAUCAGAUAUAUAUGAAUAAUAUCAGACAUAUAGAAAUCUCAUACAAUAACUUAUGCUCGAAAGAAUUGACGCUUACAUGGAAAGCUGCUUUCAAAAUGUCAUCAGACUUUGCUUCAUCCUUGAGUAAUGCAUAAAUAUUACCCUUUGAAGGAUUGUAGGUAACUAUGUAUCUUUCUUCCUGUCAAUAAAGAUUAAAAGAUGAUAUAUUACCCAAAAAAUAAUUACAAAAAAAAGACAAUCUGAAUGUGAGAGACACAGUUUUCAAGACAUGAAAACAUCAUGAAGCCGGAUCACAGUGGUAGCAAAAGGAAGACGGCUAUUUCAAGGUGUAAAUCUAAAAAUUGUAAAAUUUCAGAGAUAAACGAGCGUCAUAUAAGAUCUGGACAGUUAUACUUCAUCUGACAUAAUAAACAGGAACCAAAAGCAACAUUGGAAAAGGCAGUCUGAGAUAAUACCUUGAACAAGGAUUCUAUGGCAAGAAAUGAACGAGGUUCCUGAAAUGCAUCCCAAAGUCUUGGGCCUACAAAAAUUUUAAAGGGGAGCAUAUGUGAGCCUAGAACGCUAAGCAUGCAAAAACAUGUAACAUUAAAGUUACAGACCUAGAAAAAUGGGUGCAUGUUUUGCCCAUGGAGGAUUGAAUAUAUUCUCCUUGGAAUUUCCUUCCUUCAAGGAAGGGACAUGCCCUACAAAACAGAAGGAUGAACAAAUCAGUCAAGUUAGUAAGGAGUCAGUCACUCUAACAAGAAGAUAACUUCAUACUUGACAGAUUAAGGCAUUUGAUGAAUAAUUCUUUAUCUUGGAUGAAAUAUAUGCUAGGAAGGAUAACAACUACACUACCCAAUGGUGCUAUGAUCAAUUUGUUAAAUUAGAGAUGAUGCUUCCCUAAUAAAUGAAGGAAAAGUAAGCUCCCAAUAUGAUUGCGUAGCAAGUAUGUUAAAAAAUUAAUUGAAAAGCUUGGAACUGGCAAUUUAACAGCUAUACAUUGUGGAGAGCUGGUGAAUAGCAGUAUAAGCAGCAAGCAGCAUAGCUGGCAAAGCUAGAAUCAUGCAUGCAUAUGCAUGCAUGUCUUUAUGUAUGUAUUUAUGAAAUGGAAAUACGUCCAGUCAGAUAAAAUGCAUAUGAUGAUUUACACGUACAGAAAUGUAUACAAGGGCAACCAACUUAAAUAAUAAAAAAAAAUUAUUUUAAAAUUUAAGCCAUUUAGAUGCGUUAUUAUGUAAAUUAGAUCAUUGCAUUUGCCUCUUAGAAACUCAACCUACCACUCUUCAGGAAAGACUCCACUGCCACAGUAAAUCUCGCUCUGUUUAAAGUGUUCAGUACAAUAGAUUUCACCUGGCAAAGAACCAUAAGGUGAAAGGUUUUUUUAAAACUUAAGCUGCAGAUGUAAAAAUGCAAGAGCUGACUACAAAAGAGAGACAAACCUCUUGAUAAGAGCUGAGAACAUAUCCACAAGAGAGGAAGGCAAAAGAAGCCACCAGUGACGGAUUUCUCUUUGAAAAUAAGAUACUGAGUCCAGUUCCCAACUUUGCAUGACAGAAAGUUCAAGAAAUCACUACAACAGCUACAACUAAGUAGUGUAUGCUAAUAAUCAGCAAAUUAAAUAAUAUUCAAUUGCAAACAAAGUGUAUAAUGCUCUGCAAAGGAGCAUGCAGUUUUAUUGAUAACAUCAUUAAGGACAUGUUUGGAAUUGCUAUUAGCAGUAGAGCUUUCGGAAAGUAGAACUUUUAGAAAUAGUGUUUUUAUUAAAAACUAUUUGCUAUUCGGUAACUACAUUUUUAAAGUACUGUAAAACUUUAAUAUAUGUUCAUUAACCAAAAUAAGAAAGUACUUUUGGUAUGAUAAAAUGACAAUAAAGAAUAUUGCAUAGUAUUGCAUAUUGAAGUAUAAUACAAUAUAAUAUUAUAUAUUAUUAUAUAUUAAAAUAUUAUUAUUUUAUAUAAUAUUAUUAUAAUAUAGUGUAAUAUAAUAUUGAAUACUUAAACAUAAUAAUAUAACAUAAUAUGAUAUGACAUGAUAUGGUAAUGUAUUAUUAAUAGAACAUAUUACUACAAUGUAAUAUAACAUUAUUACAAUUAUAACAUAAUAUAUAAUAUAAUAUAAUAAUAUUGUAAUAUAAUACAGCAAUAUAAUAUAAUAUAACAGAUUAGAAAUAAUCUAUUAAGAAUAUAAUCUAAUAAUAGAUUAUAUUAUGGUAUUAUUAAACAUUAUUAUAAAUACUUAAUAAUAAUAUCAUAUUAUUAUAAUAUAAUCAUAUAAUAGAAUAUAAUAUAACGUAAUAUAAUCUGAUAUAUUAUCAUUUAUAUUAUUAAUCGUAUAUUAUAAUAUUAUUAUAAUAAUAAUAUCGUAUAUUAUCAUAAUAUAACUAUUAUUAUAACAAUAAUAAUAUAAAAUUAUGAUUGUAAUAAUAUAUAUAUAUAUGUNNNNNNNNNNNNNNNNNNNNUUUAUAUAUACAGAUAUAUAUAUAUAUAUAUGUGUGUGUGUGUGUAUGUAUAUAUGUAUUAUACAUAGAUAUAUAUCUAUACCUAUACGUAGAUAUAUAUCUGUACAAAUAUAUUGAUAUAUAUAUCUAUGCACACGCGCGCGCGCACACACACACACACAUAUAUAUAUAUAUGCAUAGAUAUAUAUAAUACGUACGUAUAUAUCCGUAUAUGUAUAUAUAUACACAAAUAUAUAUAUAUAUAUGUACAUAUUUGUAGUUAUAUGUAGAUAUAUGUAUGUAUAUAUAUGUAUGUAUAUAUAUAUAUAUGUAUGUAUGUAUAUAUAUAUAUAUGUAUGUAUGUAUAUAUAUAUAUAUAUAUACACGUGUGUGUGUGCGCGCGCGUGUGCGCAUAUAUAGAUAUGUGUGUGUGUGUGUGUGUUGUAUACAUAUGUGUUUGUUAUAUAUCCAUAUCUUAUUUGUAAGAUUUCCAUUCAUUCAAAGGCUUGGCUAAAGAGUUAGAUAUCAUACAACAAGGUUAAUGAAUAAUGACGAAUUCUUACCAAUCAAAAAGCUUGAAAGUCAUGAAUGGAUGAUUAGGACUAAUCUUGCUCUCCUUGGUAGGAUGCUAAAAUCUCAUAUCUUAGAUCCACAGGAACUCAUUGAUCAAGGAGCAAAGAAGUUGAGUGUUUUCCAUGUAAUAUAGAAGUUCCCAAGGGAGCUUUAUUUUAAUGUGGUAAAUUUUAUCUCCGAAGUUCUUUAUAACUCCCCACUUCUCUCUCUAAUUUAUCUCUAAACUACAUAAAUAACUCCAGAUAUUCUAUGCCUAUAUCCAUCCAAAACUCUUACAUUUUCUCCAAUUAAAGUCUAGUCCCAUCAAAUAUACCUAUUAGAUCUAUCUGAGUGAGAAUUCAAAUAUUCUUUCCACAUCUUUGUCAUUCCACUAAUUAAAGAGAGACCUACCCACAAACUGUUGCUCACUUUUCUCUAACUCCCUCACCCACACAUAUAUCACCAGUCCUCAUACCCUCAUAAAAAGAAAGAACAAAGAAAGAUCCAAACUGAUCAUCAUCUAGAGAGAAAGGAAGGAGACUUCAUCUUCCACCAUGAUCCUACCUCCUCUUUCCUAUUAAAGCCCAUAAUAUUCCUCCAAUCAAGAAUCAACCCAUUACACAAACUACUACAUAACCAUAAAUCAAGCUCAACCUUUUAUCCUUGGCACUUUGAGAAUAUGGGAGAAUGUUAGAAUUUGCAUAAGUCAGGAAGUGGAAUCGUGCAGACUAAGAGGCACUUGCCUGUCAAAAGUCAUCAUAUAGAACAGGAACAGGAUCUUAAUUAUCAAUAAACUAUCAAACUAGUAGAACAUCCUCAUCUAUGAAAUAUAGCAUGUUCUUCAUUAGAUUUUGCAUUAUUGUUGUUUUCUGGGCUGACAUAUAGUGCUUUUCCUUAUCCCUCUAUUUCUAGUUCUCUUGCAUUAUGAAUAACAGUUCAUUUUUUACUGACAAAAAGACAUGCUUGCAUUAUUUUUAAGAUUAUCUCACUUCUACACUAUAAUUUUCACUUUAAGAAAAUUAUGACAAAAAGAGAUCCAAUUUUAAAUGUCAGCUACAAAAUGUAGCCAACAGUUCUGCCUUAGAAUUACCUAGAGAUAAUCAUCCUACUUCUAGCUUUUCAGGGUUGUGUGCCAUAUAAGCAUCAAAUGUGUUUAGGAAAAAGUACGGUUGAAAAGGCUAUGCAGAUAGCAUACCAGAUCUGCAAUAUUGCCAACACAUUCACCUUUAGCGGUGACAUCCCCAAUAUUUUCACCUUUUGCGUAUGCUUUGUAGAUCGGAGCACGUGUUGACGUUGAUGUCACAGCAGCAACAUUCUGCAUCAAUAUAAGGGGAGGAGGAUCAUAUUCAUAAAUAUCUUGAGGAUGUAAAAAUUCCACUUUAUAAAUUUUAUCAAUUCAAAAAAAACUAACUGCACAAACAAGCUAACCUUUGCCACAUUGGCUGCACAAGCCAAUGGUAGAAAAAGGUGUGGCACAGCAGCUGUUGCUAACUCUAUUCCAGCACCCAACUCCAUUAAGAGAUCACCCGAAAACCGAAGCUGAAACACAAUCCGAUUUAUAUUCAUCAAUAAGAUUUGCAAAUGAAAUCAGUCCCGAAUAGAAAAAAAAGGUGCUAAGAAACAUGUUUACUAAUAUAACCUGCUUUAGAUCAUAGUCAAAUUUUUUUCCUUGGCGUGCAAAAAGCAUUUUCCCAACACGUCCAGCCCCAUCCUGCAUUGUAUAAAAGGCAUUGUUAGAGUUUCUCAAGAAAAUAAGGGAUGCCUCAAUAUUUUUACACUAUUAGCUCUCUCUUUUUUUUCUUUUAUGCACAGAAGAAGGUGGUGCAGGCAAAAUUUGAAGAGAAAAGCAAGCACAAAAACCAUGAUAAUAACAGUAAGAGAUUGUUGAAGCUGGGUUCCCAACCUAUAGCCCAAUGGUUUCACCUCUUGUCCAUUUCAAGGAGGUUCUGCAUUCAAAAUUUCAACCAAGAAAGGAAGGUGCUUACCUAGCAGUUUGACCUGGGUAAUUCACAAUGAUUGGUGGUGGCCCCCUAUUUUCAAAAGAAGUAACAGAUUGAGACAAGGCAAAAAGAGAUACAAGGUUUUCAUUAAAGUGAUUUCUUCUCGUUUCCCCAUAUAUUUUAUGGUGUGUCAAACUCAAAAGUUACUACAGAAAGGAACUCCAUAGCCAAGGAUAUGUGGAACAGAUGGCAUGCCAUACAAUGAUUUUUUUUCCAGGGGCAAAAAAAAAAUUGUUUUGAAGCCACAUUCUUUCUUCUACAGUAUUUGAAGAUUGGCAGAACUAAUUCCCCCGGGACCCAGCCAACCACCCAGAUAAUUCCCCUUCAAAUAAAACUACAUAUCGCAAAACAUAAUUUUAUUCCCAUUACCAAGGGGACGAAAACAAAUUCAAAUAACACUAGGCACAUAUAGGACAAGCCUCACAUUGCAUGUCAUCUUGCAACAUCCUUUCAAGCAUGCACUUGCCAGUAAGAAAAAUAACCUUGUUAUUAUUACUUUUAACUAACUUUUGUAUAAAAAGAAAUUAUUGAACGAAUAUUCCAUAGAACCAAUAUCCUGAUUUGAACUACAUCAAAUUUAAGUAUAAUUACAAAAGUUGAAGAAGUAUCCAACAUCAAACCUAAGCAAGUAAUUUCGACUCAAAAAUAUCAAUAGCAAGACUAUAACAAAAGAUGACAUCGAUGCAGUUUCAAUCUCUACUUGAUGGCGGACUGUUUAAUAAGCAAUCUAGACGCAUUUCUCUUAGGUGCAAAUAUAGAAAUUAGAAAAUUUAUUUUAUUUAGGAAUUAAGGACUUUUAUUUUUGCAUGGACUCUACGACCAGCAUUUUAUGACUUCGAAUAUUUUAUUUCUAUGUGAACUCUUAUUAGGGUUUUGUGUUGUCUAUAUAAACCCAUUACUGUGUUCAUUGAGAAUAUAGUUUGUAUUAUUGAGAUUUGAGAAUACAGAAUAUUGUGUUGCCCUCUCCCUCUGCCUUCUUCUUCUCCUUCUUCUCUUUCCUCUUCUUCUUCUCAUCUCUCCUUCUUCUGUCCUGCAUCACUAUUAUUUUAACCAGAAAAACCUAUGUGACUGGACUUUUUAUUUUCAGGUUGCCCCUAUAUAUCAAAACUUUUAGAGCCCUAGUACCAGAAGUCUCCAUCGAUUUUAAAAUGUUGGAUUUAGGAGACAACUGAAUACUCCUUUUAAUAGCUACACUAAACAAAAGAUAUUGAAAUGACGAAGAAAAUGAACCUAUAAGAACGAUGAUUUCAUUUACAAAAAGAUAGUGGAGCUGCUCAAGUAAAUAACCAGACAAGAAAUUGAAUUUGAACAGAAAAACCAUGGAACCAGCUGUACUUAGGUUGUCCUUGCAUAUUUAUGGUCAGGAUUAUUAUUCUGGAAGUUCUACCCAUCCAAAUAAACUAAAAUUAUGGAUGUUCUGUAAAGCAAAUACUUUUUUCUUGGAAAAUUAGGGUACAACAAAACCGUCGUGAUUUAUGCUGGUCUUUACCUUAAGAAUCCAGUUAAUGGCAACAGCACCUGAAGUGGCUCUACUUUGGGAUACUCCAACCGAACUUAGAAGUGCCCGUGUUGUAAAAACACUCAUUGCUCCCCCAAAGAAAUGCUGAAAGGAGAUGAUUUUUAUUAGUACAUCAAGAGAAUGGUCAAUCUGAUAGCAGGUCAGAUGCAUACCUUUGUCCAUGAAUGUAGCACAAGCAUGCAGGAAUUAACUUAAAAAUCCGAUGUUCAAGUUAAAGAGAAAAGAAUACCUUCAAAGCUCUCCAUGUCAUGUAUGGCACAUAAGAAGGUGUAACACUAUCUGGAAAGCCUUCCGGUACAACAUAGGAUCUUAUGAAUGAGACCAACUCCUGCGCCAUAUGAUACGUUAACGAUGCAAUAAAAGCUAGAAUCUGUAGCUUUCAAUUAUUCCCACUUUUUGAAGAAUUUUUUUUUUAGAAUCAAUCUAUACAAAGAAAUGUUAUCUGCAACUACUUCUGCUUAUAUGAAUUAUAAAGUAUAAUGACAUACUGCAGCAAAAAUUAAAAAAAUCCAAGAAUAUAUGGAAAACAUGAAUAAAGGCAUUAAAUGCUUUCCAUACUCGAAUUGCACAUGAAUCUAAUAUUUUUUUCUUCUCAUAUAUGACAAGAAGUGAGAACAAAUAGAUGUCACUUAAUGUUAAUCAGCAAUGCCAUGUAAAAGCCAGUAUAUGUUCCGCUGAAGGGUUGCAUAACCACUUCCUACCUUCUCUUUUCAAAAAGAAAAUAAGGUAAUGCAGAAAAGGCACAGAGUAUAGCUUAACCACUUAAUGAGUCCUCCUCUGUUAGUAAGUCCUAUGUUUUACACUCUAUCCACCUCAUUUUCCUUUUUCUCUGAAUAAUAGGUCGUCUAGAAAAGGCACAGGGUAAAGUAAAUUCAACCCUAAAUGUUAAUGAACAUCCUCUCAAAUCCAUUAGCUUUUCCUCAUUAUCUUGGCCCAAUCUCUCUCUGCCUUCCUAGUUCUAUCCAACAUUAAACUCAUAAUUUCAAGUUCAACUAUCCAUACAUACUCUNNNNNNNNNNNNNNNNNNNNNNNNNNNNNNNNNNNNNNNNNNNNNNNNNNNNNNNNNNNNNNNNNNNNNNNNNNNNNNNNNNNNNNNNNCCCUUGAUAAAUUUUUUAUAUAUAUUUUCAAGAGUAAGGCUUGACGCAGCAAUAAAGUUGCUCCAUUAUGACCUACAGGUCAUGGGUUCGAACUGCACGCGGAGGUAAGGCUACAUAAAUUUGACCCUCCCUAAACCUUGCAAUGGAAGGAGCCUUUGCACUAGGCCGUCCUUUUUUAUUUUUUCAAAGAAACUAUAUGAAUAGUAUGUCUUGUAGGAAUGGCCAUGGGAUACUUGUGACUUGAACAUGCCCAUAAUCACCAUCAUAAUCACCAACAUACUUUUCUACACAACUAAAAUAGAAGAAGCAAAUCUAAACCAACAUAAGAAUGUAUAAUCAAGAAAUCAACCCACAACAAAUUCUUAAAUUUAUAUUUAGUAAUAAUUUUACAAUAUAAAAGGUCCAUAAGGAAGCAUCUGGUAUUAAGAAUCCUGAUCAAGUUGCAAGGUGGCACACAUGAUCCUCAAUAUAGGAAUACAAAAGGUAUGCAAAAGUCAUUUAAUUGAUCACUAAAAAGCUUGAUCACACACUAAUAAUAGCCUCAGAAGGAUGUUUAUGAUUAUGAAAACAUCAAAUACCAUGUAGUAGACAAAAAAAAGAGAAAAUUUAUGGGAACAUAUGUUGAAUAGAAGCCUUAAAUCAGUAAUAAUGUGAGCUCCAACAUAACUUUUAGCCCAUUAAGCUUAAUCAAUUGAAUCUUGAUUGUGGGAUAGAUGGCAACAACAAUAGCAAUUAUGUUCAACAAGGUUUUAAAUCCUGUAGAAUGGGGUAGUCCAAGUUUUUCCGCAGUUGUGCCGCCCCGCCUCAGUACCCCAUCCCAACAUCGCGCGAAACAUCCCACUAGAACCUUCUAUUCCAAUUAGGUAGCAUAUAGCCAAAAUAUGGACAUUUCAAAGGGCCAAAGGUUGUCAACUUCUUUCACACCACUAAUAAAAUCCACCAUUUCACAAUGGUUUGAGACAAGUGGUUCAUAGGGCUUAUCGACGACAAAAAUAAUCACUGAACUACCAAAAACAGGUCCUUCAUUGAAGAAGGAAACCCUUCAUAUCAGCAAGAAUUAUAGAGGCAAACAAAGGUCUAUUUCACGGAAAAAGCAACUGACAACAAGACAAUAUAGUCAGCUGAAGCUUGAAAGCAUCAAGUGCAUCUUCUUUGGAAACCAAAAUGUCAUUCAUAAUUUAGUCAACCAUGCUUUGUUGCUUUUACAAUUUUGUAUCUUUAUAAUCACCCAACUCAAAGUUCCAAAUAUGACUAAAGUAUUUCAUUCUCAAAUCCAAACCCCCACCGCACCUCUUCAAGGGAAAUUAUUCCUUCAACAAAAAGUUAAUAAGCAUUACCCUGCAACAUCUAACCUUUUGCAAAGAAAGCAAGCAUUGUCUCCUCUUGUCUUUCCUUUUUACAUAUCCUGAAAUUUCAGCAUAGGCAAGAGAACUCAACAUAUGUCUGCUUUCUCAACUAGAUAUAAGCAAAGUGAUAUGGAGAAUAAAUUAUUGGCACAUGAUGAGCUGAAAAUUACCAAAAAUAUUCUAAGCUUUAUACCAGGUUAUCUUGUCCACAUUAAAUAAAGGAGAUAUGUGGACGCAGGUAACCAUGACAUAAACAAUUGAGUGCUCUAAGAUUUUUUCGUGAUCCUCUUCUGAAGUUUUUGAAAAACUAAAGCAGAAUGAAUAGGUCUGUAAAAUCUAGGAACAGUGUCAAUACUCCAAAAUUGAGACCCUCCUCUUUUUCAAAAUAUCUUACAAAACACCCAUCUUAAUAAUGACAUUUUCAUCCCAAAGAAGAUUUUCACAUGCUCUCCAGAAUUGUAAAACCCAUUCUAAAGCUUCAUAGCUGGCUGAAUUUCCAAAGACAAUCUGAAUCUCAAACAUGUCAAUUUUCUGAAUGGAGAGGGAUUUGUUUGCAUCACUGUUAUACACAUAAAAGGAAAAUGUUAUGGCAUUCAUUUGAUAACAUAAAAGGAAAAUGUUAUACACAUAAAAGGAAAAUGUCAUGGCAUUCAUUUGAUAAUAUUAAGAGAACCUAGAACAACUGAAAACUUCUUCCUUUGUUCUAACAUAAGAAUAAUCUAUUUCAUUACUAUAACUUUCCCAACAUAUUAGCUUUUUUCCUUCCACUUGCAGAUUUCUUAAAUUCUUAUUUUUCAGAUUAGCUGAACUUCCCAUGAACCUCAGUCAAAUUAGUCCCUUGAUCUAAUUGACCAAAUAUGAGAAGUAUAAAUGGAAUAACAGGAGACCUACUUAUAAAAGAAGUCCCAAGCACAAUGAACUAACAAUUUGCAACAUUUUGCCAAAAACCAAAGCAAAAGGAAAUCGACGUGUCGAGGUCAGAUAAACUAGAGGCAUACAUGCUCUAUGGCACAGCAAUGGUUGAAGAAUUACAUUAAAUUAGAAAUCCAGUUGCAAAGGUUUUUCUACAGACAUACUCAUUGCACAAAUUACUUAAACGUCUCAAUACAAGAAGCAAUGCUGCAGCCAGACAGACCAAAUUAGUGAGCAAUUUCCCCUGAAUAGAUUAUAAUACAAAGAUAAAACAGAAAACAACAAGAAAUCCUCCAGAUCACAAAGGAUUGAAAGACAACAAAACUACAUGAAUUAAAAGAAAGAAAGAAACCAAGAAACUCACUAAAAGACGCAACAAACGUAUCAAGAUCAGCCCUGAAGAAGAUAAAAAGGGACAGAAAUCAAAAGGCUUACAUCCAUUGGAGCCGCCGGGGUCUGCAACGAGACGGACUUCAACGCCGAGCCCCGCCGCAGCCUUCCGGGCCCUUCCUCCUCCACGACGUAAUUCCACCGCCUUCCAUUUAUCUCCUCGCAGCAAAGCACCCUGGACGGCGCCUUCUCCUCCAGCGCGAGCCCCUCCACGGCGGGCCCGAACCUCAGCUCCGGCAGCGAGGGCACCGGCGGGAGAGGCGCGGAGGCGAGGGCGGCGGCACCGGCGGCGGAGCGCAUGGCGUCCAGGACGAGGGCCUCCGGGGAGCCGCCGGCAAGGGUUAGGGUUUGGGACGGGCUCGAGGAGCGCUUCAUCGGAGUCGAAGCCAUCGGCAGUGAGGGCGUGACGAGGGAUCGGGGGUGGCGAGGGUAUUUAUAGGGUGGAAGGGCCUUGGGGUUCUCGUGGGUGAGGCCGCAUGGGAACCGCACGACGCAACGAGGUAGCGGGCGUGAAAAGAGAGAGAAGAAAGAAAAAAAAAGAAAGAAAUAAUUAAUGAUGAGUCCGCUGAGGAGUGACGGACGGUGGUAAAGAGGGAAUAGAAGAGGAGUUUUCUAGGCUGGAGUUUUUGGAGUUUUGGAGUUCAAGGCCUACUUGCGUUUUAAAUAGUAUUAGUAACAGCUUGUGGGAUGGACCUUUUGACUUUCGGAUGACUCCACCACCAUCAAAACACCAAACUAGCUGAGUUGGAAGUUUGUUCUUGGAGUACCUUUUAUUUUUGAUGUCAUCACCAAGGCCUACUAAUCGAGUGUAGUUGUGCGUGUUUUUCUUUUUUUUCUUUUUUUUUUGAUUGAUAACGGCAAUAGCCUACUGUCACAUUCUCAUAGAAAAAGAUUUCAGAAUGAUUGCAGCCUGAGGUGGCCACUUGUUUGAUACAUCGGUGCCAGAGAGCAGAGUUGAGAGCGACCUAAUCAAACUUGUGCUAUGUUCGAUGUGCCUUACAGGAGUGAGACAUUCUUUUGGAGGGUGACUCUGCGAUAGUUAUUGGAUGAAUCCUGCAAACUUCUGAGGGCUCGGCGACUACCAUCCACUGAUGAGAGAUAUCCAGGCCAUGGCUUCUGACAGGCUUGUUACUAACCACUCGGGAGACUACUUAUAGGAGGGAGAGGCAAAGUUGCCUACUGCUCUCCGUGAUGUAUUAUUUUUAAAUUUUUUUUAGCUGUAUUCGUACACGUUAUGUAUGAAACUUUCGUUUUCAAAAAAAAAAUCUAGAUAGAUCAUCUUUUGAAACAUUCCUAGAACACUUGGUACGUACAUCUCCAUCCAACAUCCAACAUCUCGACCCAUUGCUCGGUUUCCUUAAUGUGUUGUAGCUCGAUCUCCGUAGUUCUAGUCAUCAUGGUAAUAUAGUCCAGGAUGAAGGUGUUGAGGUUGGAAAGGAUGUACUCAUCCUUGUUAAUAAUAACGAGCAAGUUGAGGCAAUCACCUUCAAAUUAUCACCUGCAAGAGAUUUGAGUCGAUGCAUCAGAAACAUGGCCACGUACGCUAAAAGCCCAAAUCUCGGCAAAGAGAGAGGAGUCUAAGAUUGGAGGUAUACCUUUGGCUGCCAAAUAUUGUCUAGUAUUCUUUCUGAGGAUUAUGACUGCUUUUACCAUUGCUUCACCUGAGAUUACAGAAUUAGGAUCAUUAUCUUAAAUUAGUUUGGAGGGGGUGGUUCCCAUCUUACCCAUCUUACAUGUUGCUUUGAAGUUGUUUCAUGAUAUAUAGUUUUGAAUUACUUAUUUGCAUUGCACCAAGUAUUGGAAGCAUUCAUUUUUUUUAGACUCCUAUUCUCUAAAUUGUAUAAGUUUCAAGUUUUAAAGGCACCAUAAAACAGUAGAAAAUAGAGCCCUAUCCCAUUAAGGAUUGAUAUUAUCAAACCAGAAGGAAUCAUCUAACCAAUCUCCAUUCAACAACAAUGUCUAUCAUCUAGUUGCCAUCACAAUUAGUAAUGUGAUGUCUCUUAAUUUCUUUCCAUGUUUCUUUUUUUUUUUCUAUGAUGUCAUCGCUAAACAUCAUUAUUUCUUGAAGGUAGCCCUAGUUCAAUGCUAGUUAAAUCAUUUUAUGUCGGUGAUGGUCGUGUAUUAAAACUUGUGAGAUCAGUGCUUUGGCAUCCAUGUCCAUCUAGGCUGGGUGUGGUAAAACAUAGGACAUGUAUAAUAUGUAGGCUAUGAGGCAUUGGAUAAUGGUCAUCUCGUGUGCAUAGUGUUUACAUCUAUAUAUCAAGUUAUUAUAUAUAUCUAUUAGAUUUAGGCUCUGUUUGGAGGAGCUGUUAGUAGUAGAGCUUUUGGAAGUAGAGCGUUUAUAAAAAGCUGUUUGCUGUUUGGUAACUACAUUUCUAAAGUGCUGUGGCACUUUAACAUGUGUUUGGUAAACAAACUGAGAAAGUACUUUUGUGUGACAAAAUAACCAUAAAGGACAUUACCAGUAUUAUAUAAUAGAGCAUAAUAAAAUAUAAUAUGUAUUAACACAUAAAUAUAUAAUAUAGUAUAAUAUUAAUGUAAUGUAAUAUAAUAUUAUUAUAAUAUAGUACUAUAACAUUAUGUAUUAUAGAAUAAUAAUUUAAUAUAAUAUUAAAUUAUUAAACAUAACAUAUCAAUGUAUUAUGAUAUAGUAUAAUANNNNNNNNNNNNNNNNNNNNNNNNNUAAAUAUAUAAAAUAUUAUAAUGAUUAGUGUAAAUUAUUUUUUCAUCAUUCUAAUGACCAUUUAUCUCUCUAACAAAUAGAGAGAAAGGAAGAAGAAGAUUGAGAGGGAAAGGGAGAAAGGAAGAGGCGGGAUAAGGAUUUUGGGAGAAAAAGUGUGAUUUAAAUGGAGGUAUUUUGGUCUAAAAAACAGCUUUCCGACAAAACUGAAAAUAGUAUUUUCGAAAAGCUCUAAAUUGGAGCUUCUCCCCAAAAGCUGUUUUCAGCUUUCCGCAAAAGCUGAAACAGCUUUCCGAAAAUUUUACCAAACACCAUUUUUUAUCUACAAGUACUUUUGGAGGGCCAGAAAGUGCUUUUUGGCCCUCCAAAAGCUCCUCCAAACAGGGCCUUAGAAUAUCUAUUGGAGCAUGUGGUUUUUCUUGUGUGCUUAGGGAUUUACUUUGUUGUUCAUAAAGUAGGUUUCACUAUUAAGAUGCACUGCACCUUAGUUUUGAGGAUUAUAAUUUUAUUUAUUUUCUUUUUUUGCAUAUCAUUUGCUUGCCGGUAUAUAGGUUUCUAUACUAAAUGACCAAACCAUUACACUCUUAAGGGUCGCCAUGUAGCUACUAGCUAGCACAAACAAACAUGAUUCCAAACAUUGACUUGGUGACCAAUACAACAAGCGUGCUUGCAAUACUUAAAUCAUGGAUGGAACAUUUGGUAUCAUGAAUAAAGAAGAACAAAUAGCAUUUUUUUUCCUUUAUUUGUAGCGUUGUGAAAAUAGCAGACAUAAUUAAAACUAUCCUAUUUAAUUUGACACCAUUUACAUAAUAAUGCAGAAAUAUCAUAAGGCAUGGAUAGAUUUAUACAAUGGUUCAUGUUAGAAGAAGAAAAAAAUCCAAUGGCAUGUUUGCUAGCAAGAGAGGAUAAAUUGCAUAGAUAGUAAAGCACUAAGAUUGGGAUGAAGGGUAAGAAAAUGCUUAUUAGUCAUUAUUCAAUGCAAUGUUCUUCAGGUUAAGUGCUAUAAUUCUUGUUAUGAUAGAAGGUAAGUGAAGAAAUAGUGCCAAAUCAGACACUAUAUUUAAAUAAUUGUUCGGGAUGACAACUCUAGUAAGGGUAAAAAGGAAAAGAGAUGUCACAAAGAAUGCUUUAUGUUUGAUAAUUGACUUAUCAUUCUUGCAACUCCUUUUUUUGCUCAUGCAUUUAUGGCAUUUUGUUUAUUAUGACUGAAAGGAACUGGUCUAAUAAGUGCAAAAAAAAAAAGAAGCGACAAAUGUAAUCUCGUACAAAGUUUUUAAUUAGGCUUCAUUUUUUGGCACAUUUUAUUUCUGGCUUGUAUUUAAUCCAUGUUUUAUUUUGCUGAUUUGAAAAGUUGAUUAUUAGAAGUAAAUACAUAGUAGUAUGGAUUGUGCUCUAUUUGAAAAGCCAAUUGUUGGCCAUGUAAUGUGUAAACUGCAAUUAGAUUGACCCUUCUAAGUCAGUUAGAAAAAAGGUAUAGAGUCAUAAGCUUAUACCUUUGUACUAAUAUGAACUUGAGCUAUGCCAUUCCACCAUGAAUUACAUAUUAUACCUUGACUCUUAAUGCGCUUAAAGUAAUAGCAGGCAAUAAAUAUAGCCAUCUACGAAAUCAGAAGGAAAGGAGGUAAACCGCUGAAUCUUGCCAAGAGGUGUUUGAUAGACAAAAAUGAGAAAAAAAAAAGUAGAGGUGGAAUCACAUGAAUCCCAUCUUAGUUGUGCUGUAUACAAGGAUAACAUUCCAGUAAUGUAUAGGGAACCAAUUUUAGUAGCUACGAAUAGCUUAAGUAGCUAUAUAUAUUUGUUAUAUGGACCCUUUAUGAGUAGUGAGAAAGGGUUGUUCAUCAUUUUUGCUAGUCCAUCAAAAUUAAGGUUGUGAAAGAGGUUCCAAAAUUAUACACUAUAGUUUUUUUUUUUCUUUUUCUUUUUAGAAAGAAUCUGAUUGCCCUUGAUAUGUAAUAUAAUUAAUAAACUUAUAAUUUAUAAUUUAAUUAUGAAAUUUUAUUCCUUCAAUCUUAUGGAGCCAUGGCGUCAACUCUAUGGCCAGUGUACACAUCUGCCAUGCCCAGGUACAAGAUUUCCAAUGUUCUUAAAUAUCUUAAAAUUACAAACUUUUUAGUGGUACCAAUCAUCCAUCCAUUCAUCACUUCAUGACUGGUCUAAUAUGGUAACUGAAAUAUUGGGUAGUUUGAAAAAAAAAACAAAAGAGAGGGACCAUGCUUGACUCGGAUAUCACUCAGCCAGUGACUGCUUAAGCGCUUGCAUGUGGUCGCAUUAGAAGCAAAUGCGUUGCCUGCCCAAACACCGCAAUAGAAGCAGAUCCAGACUGCGACGGUGCACGUGGCGGCAAGGACGAGCAGAGGCGAUAAAAAAAUCGUACGCGACACACCGGUUGAACGGCCCUGAUCUCCCCAUCACAUCUGCAUCUCCCGUCGCCCCACGCCGGAGCCUGACCACAUUAAAGAGAAAAUGAUCCCACCAUAUUUAUCCUUCCAAGUUAUCUUUUCCGUUUCUCCCCCCCCUCCCCUUUUUCUCGCGCUCUCGCUCUCGCUCUCGGGAGCGGUAUCAUGUCGGGAAUUUUCCGAUGGAAGAGGCUGAGAGAGCCUGCGGCUCGCGCCGCCGCCGCCGUCGCUUCCGCACCCAGCCGCCCGAUCUGUACCAACUCCGCCGCCCCUCACUCUGGCCGCCACCAUCGCCGCCCCCCCGGCAUCCCGCACGGGCAGGAGCGGCACAAGUGGGCCGGCGGCGCCGACGAGUUCCACACCCGCCGCAUCCGCGCCGAGGCCAACUGCCCCCGCUGCUCCAAGCAUAUGGACGUCCUCUUCUCUAACCGCUCCCCGCCCUCCAUCGCCGGCGCCGGCGACCGCGGCGGCUACCAGGCCCUCAACGUCUGCCCCAGCUGCAAGACCGCCUAUUACUUCCGCCCCCACAAGCUCGUCCCCCUCCAGGGCACCUUCGUCGAGAUCGGCCGCGUUCGGGGCGCUGACUCCGAGAGGGAGAGGCCCGCCGGCGCCGGGGAUGACGAGGAGCAGGGGAAUCGCUUAAAGACCUCCUUUUGGGAGGCGCUGCGGUCUUCAUACGGCGGGGAGCCGCCGGAGAACUGGCCUCCCAUGCCAGGCCUGCCGGAGGGUAAUGGAUUGGCGGUGCACACCCCGCCCGGGCCGCCGUUCCCGCCGAAUUUGAACGUGGUGAGGGUGGCCGGGCCCGGCGGGGGCGGGGGAGGAGAGGGGGACCGGUGGUGGUGGUGGUGGAUUCGGGGGGAAGGACGGGUGGGGCGGGUCUAAUUUGGGGAAGGAUUUGCCCACGCCCAAGGAGAUCUGCAAGGGGCUCGAUAAGUACGUGAUCGGGCAAGAUCGUGCUAAAAAGGUAGCUUUUUUUAUCACUUUCUUGGCAAAUUCGUUGAACUUGUUUAUCAGGAAUAGAAGAUAUAGUAGAAUUUAAAUACAAGAAAUCGAUUCUUUGGUUUUAAUUAUUGAAUGUAAGUUAAAUAAUUUCCAUCACAAAGUCUAAAGACUUCGGAAGAUACUGGAGAGCAUUCUGAUCAAAGAUUUUUUCCUAAUUAUAAAUGUGUCUGUUUACUGAUCAAAGAUUUUUUUCCUAAUUAUAAAUGUGCCUGUUUCUUGAAAAAGUGACCUUUUCCCCCUCCAUUUCUUUUCCAAUUUUUCCAUAGUACAUAAUGCGGACAAUAAACACCAUUCCUACCAUGUAAAUGGUGAUUGCGUGGUGGAGGAUUGUUGUAUCUUCCAAAAGUUUCUUUGGGGCCUACACCCACCUAUCAAACUGACUUAAAGGGAUAUAAUGGAGAAAGAUUUCAGAUUUGGUCUUCAUCUCUCCGCCCGAACAGUUCGCCACAUAACCUCAUCUUCCACCCGACAACACCAAUUCUCACUCAAGGUCUUCAAGUUGAUAUUCUUAUAUCAAAUUGCUCAUCUUUCUUCCAUGUCCCAGUUCUAGAGUAAAGAAUCAUGACUUUUCAUGAAGACAUUGUGAAAAAAAUACAUCAUGUUAUCAUCUUUUAGAUUCCUAGAAUAAAGGUUGGGAGCUUUUUUUAUUUUUUUUAAAUGUUCUCUUUUCAAAUUAGGUUUCUCUGAAAAGCAAGAUUCAUACUUUCUCUAGCAUGUGUUUUGGAAUAAACUUUUUAAUUCCAAAGUCACUCAGAAUAGCCUCGAUAGUAUGUUUCUAUUAUGCAGUAGGUCUGUGUUUCAGCAAAUUACCUAGUGUAACCCGAAAACAGAUUGGUUCUUGCAAGGGAAUGUGCUGACAAUCCUUUUAACUUGCAUGUAGGAGUAAAAUAAAAGGUAACUAUGGCUUAGGACAACUAGCCUUCUCCCUGCUAAUAAGUGAGCUAUAAGAAUCAAAUAGGCUAGUGAACAUUCAUACUUACUGAAGAUUGUAGAAGGCAGGAUGUUAGUUCAUGCAAUAUGUAUUCUUCUAACGUUUACUGUUGCUUUUGGGUACCUAGUGCUUUGCACAAGUCUACUUUCUUUUUUAAUUAACCUUCCUUGUUGUCAUGAUCAAACAGAAAGCACCAUAAUAUCUGGUUUUGUUUCUCAAGAUACCAAGUCUCAUCUUUGGUUUCUUUAUUCUUUUUAUUGGAUAUUGUGUUUAUGUGGUUAAACCAACAAUGGGAAAUUAUCCAUCUUAAUAAUAAUGAUGAGAUUUUUUGUAAUGAUUUUUUUCUGGUAAUCCACUUAAAAAUUGCAGGUGCUAUCUGUUGCUGUGUACAACCACUAUAAGAGAAUCCAUCAUGCAUCUUUACAGAAAGGGUCUGUUCCCAUUUAACCUUCCUAUAUCUAUUUCAUUUUCUGCUCUAAUCCUAUGGCUUAUGUUUGUUUUGUUAUAUAUCUUUUCUUUAAGUUCAAGUGUAUGUGGGUGUUAUAUAUGAGUAUCAAAAACUUGCUCAUUCUUGGUGAUGUUUUCUGACGGCUCAUGCUGAGCUGAAUUUACUGAAAAUACACAGAUCUGGAGCUGAUUCAGGGAACUUUGAGCCUGAAAAUGAUGAUGACGAUAAUGUAGAGUUAGACAAAAGCAAUGUGCUCUUGAUGGGCCCUACUGGCUCAGGUACGGUUUACAUUUUUCUGAUGUGAUGGUUUUGCCGAACAUGCUGCACUUAUUAUGUCCUAUCUAUCAUCAUGAGAAGUAACAGGGAAUUAUCUACUGUAUUUUAUUUUUUGAUGGCCUGGCCUACGUAUAAAUUGUUUUAUUGUCUGUAAGGACAGGGAAGACAUUACUUGCAAAGACAUUAGCUCGCUUUGUGAAUGUGCCAUUUGUUAUUGCGGAUGCAACAACACUGACACAGGUAAGUGCACUUAUGUUCUUUUAGUUACUUACUAUGUUGAAAAUAAAAAAAUAUUCUUUCAUAGUGUAACCCUCUAGCCCAAGGAACUCUGCUGUUGUGGUUUCCUGAUUUUUAGAUUUAUUAAUUCAUUUUUCUUGCAGUAUGUAUUUAUGAUUUUCUUAAGAUAUUUUUAUCCUCUGAUUAUUUUAAAUUAACUUAUAAAUGAUUCCUCUAUUUAAAAUCUUGCACAUUUAGCAUAAAAGCUGAAAGAAAAUUCAAGAACAUUUUUACCUGCUCCAUACACAUUCUGAUGUGCUUGUUUUGGUCUACUUUUGAUCUUUUAUGCAUGUAUCAUAAGAAAAUUCUGUAAUUGGGAAGAAAACAUAUAACCAUCUGAUGAUAUAUUUAGAAAUUAGAGUCAAGGCCAGUUUAUGUAGCAAUUCAUUUUGAUCUAUGAGAUCCUCGUGAACAAGGUCCUUUGAGAGAAAGAGUGCAAUUUUUACAUCAAUUCUGUCAUCUGCUCAGCAUUUCUUGAUGACAAUCAUAGGCAUUACUCUUUUUGUUAAACAUUUUUUUUUCGAGCUUCAAACUUUUUAGUUUUAAAAGAAUGAUACUUUUGCGAGGUUGCAAUGAAACAAUAAUGAAGAGAAAAAUUCUUUCUGAUGUCAAAGUUGGAUCAUAGCUUAUAUUUCAGCCUAUAUAAUUCUUUGACAGCACACUUCAGCUUACAUAGUGUUUGAAUUAUUCAUUUAUUUAUUUUUUAUUAGUGUUGCACUAAGUAUUCCUUGGUGGAAUGUUUUAAAAGGUAUUUUGAGCUUAUGAACUUUUCAAUUAGAUAUUAGGUUAGGAGUGUCUAAGCUUCACAUACAUUGGGCUUAUGACAAAGUUAGAUGCCUCUGGAAGACACAACCCAAAUAUUUUACUAGAUUUCAAGUGUUCAAAAAUAUAUAUCAAUGGUUAGUUGGAUUUUUUUAUGGGUUCUUUGAUCUUGGAGCCUGCCUAGCUUGCAUGAUUUGUUUUCCGCCAUUAAUAUAUCUCAGUAUGUAUGAUGCUUAUCUUGAAGGUUUUUGAACUAAAUUAUGGAGCAUUCCAUUGUAUGCUUUAUUUAUUUAUUUUGUGGUGGGAGAAAUAAUUUUGGUUGUUAUGAAGAUUAGUAGCUAUAUGUGCUAUGAAAGGUAUUGUAUUAAUACAGAGCAAUUUAAUUUUAAUUUUACUUGAUCAGUUGAUUGCAGAACGGUUAUUAGUUUCGUGAAAUAUACCUUGCACUAAUCUCUUACUGCCUUUUGAGUGCACCAAGAGUCCCUAGGUGUUGAUACAGAAAAAAGAGCAUAAACAAAUUAGCUAGGGACAGAACCUUUGCCCUUGCUAGAUUUUGAGGGUGGGCAGACUUUCUUUACAUGUUUAGGAAACUUACUAGAUUAGUGAGAGGCGCUGAUCAUUGAUAGGUUUUGUAAAUAAAACCAGCAAAAAGACAAGUCAUGUAGGGACAACCCUUGCUAUAUCUCAAAGUUUUUCCCCUGGUGGGAUAGGAAAGGAGAAGAAGAAGGUGGCAAUUAUAAUCCAUAAUCUUAAUCAUCAAACCUUCUGCUAAUAAUUUGGUAUCACUCUUAUGAAUAUUAAGUUACCAAGUAUUCCUAUCUAGGGUGACCUUUGGUGUUACUUCAAGCCUUUUCAUAUGCAGUUUCACAUCUUCCAUCCAUGUCACUCGAGAUCUUCCCCUUCUCUUUGUGAGUCCUUUGACAAAACAUAUAGGGACCAAAGAUUAAGGAUUUGCUGUAAUUGUAAAAUUGUAAAGCAAAAUAAUAAAACAUUAAAAAGGUAAGCGAAGAAGAGGAGAACAAGAAAGAAAGGAGAAUCAGAAACAAAUUUUACUGGUGACAAGCAGAAUGUGAGCUUUUAUAUGUGUAUUUUAUGUGUCUCUAUGUUGUAUGUGAAUUGUGAAGUUGCAAGUUGUGAAGUAAUAAGAAUAUGAAGAAUAAUAUAACUUAGCUGAUAUUUGGAAAUGCUGAAGGCUUUAACAGCAAAGUAACUGAGGAAUAUUGAACUGUUGUAGGCUUGUAGCUGCAUAUUGGAUUACAUGCUUUCUUUAUAGAAGAUGUAACUAAGCAAUUCCUACUUGGUAUAUAAUAAUGUGACACACAUGUUGCUAUCACACCACAGUUAGCUUAUGUGCAUGUCUUUUUGUUUGCUUUUGGUAUUGCAGUACUAAACUGAAAACGGACAAAUAUUUGUACAGGCAGGCUAUGUUGGAGAGGAUGUUGAGUCAAUAUUAUACAAGUUGCUUACGGUAUGGUUUUGGAUAUUCUCUUAUUCAGAUGCUUUAUAUUACUAGCUUGGAUUAUCUGAUUGUCCGUGAUAUUGAGGAGAAUUGAAUGCAAAAUAUGUAACUAUUACCAUUGCAUAGUAUGGUAACUGUAAUCUGAAUUGCGGCAUUAUUCAUUUUUCUUUGCAAGAAUGCUGUCAUUAGUUUUUUGACAUCUAGCCUGUAUAAUUCUAUUGGAGAUAUUGAGAUAUUUACACUUCUCAUGAACGUAACAGGAUUUUCCUGUUAAUGGUUUCAAAAAUAUGUUUUUACUUGUAUGCCUUACUUGAAAAAAAUUCAAUUGGUCAAUCAAUUAUGCAAUUAAAGUUAUAUAACAUAAUGAGAUUUAAGAAAUGCAGUUAUUAGGUCCUGAAUAUGAUAUUUUCAGUUUCUUCCUUUGUAUGUAAUUUUGCUGUUUUCUGAGGUACUUUUUUUAUGAAAUGUAUGAACAGUACCAGGACAUUCUUGGGCUUGCUGAUGCAAUGCAAUUGACUGGACUGCUAGAGUAAUACUGCUAGAGUAAUAGUUUGCUCCAGCAGUCAUUGGUGCUUUCAGUUAUUAUUUUCCGAAGGCGGAAGUUGUUUUAUGUACAUAAUGCAUCUUGAGUUGCUAGGCUUUUUCUUUGAUAAAUUGGCUACACGAAAACCAUGCUAAAGGUAUGUGAAGGAUACUGCUGAAGUACUAUAACAACUCAGGACCUCGUUCAAAAAGGCUAGUCGAAAGGUGUUAUUUGGGUUCUUUGGGCUCUGUAUAAGUAUCUGCGAUCUACCCAAUGCAUAGCUGAUGUGGGAUUAAACACGCCUGUAUGUGUCCUCACAAGGAUAUAGGACAUUGCCAAAUAAAAUAAUGAUCCAAAUAUGUAAAUAUUUGUGACAUAGUACUUGGAAAGUUUUGAACCUUCUCAUGUUACCUCUGUUUAUAAUCCAAGUAUCAUUGCUUGUACAGUAUAUCAGCAUUUUGUCUUUACUUUCUUGCUGUCUUUUCUUGCGUAUUGCACCUUAAAAUCUCAUCAAGUGAAUACAGGCUGAGAUACCGCUUUCCCUUCAUUGUUGUUAUUAUGAUGCCAUUGGAACAUGAUUUAGUCUCCCUUUCUAAAACAAGCUACCCCUGGUUAUCUUGUGCAGCGUAUCCCAUUGACACGAAUCUUCUUUUCCCCCUUUUUCUGUCAUCUCAUCUUUUUUUUAUUUUUCUUAACGAAUUCAUUCUUCUUAAACAUGCCAACAGACUGCAUCCAAUCUAAUUGAGGGCUGUUUUCAUUUAUUCUUCCUUGAUGUUUGCUAAAUCCUGAGCCAAUUGCAACUCAAUCAAAUGAAUACUUGCAAUUAUCAUAUAUGCUUCAAUAGAUAUUAUCCUUCUUGUUCCUGGCCCUACCGUAUAGAUCUGAGCAUCUAUCUUUCUUGGCAACCCUUGGUCUUUAUUGGAUGUAUACCUGAUAUUUUGAUUGGUGCUCUCUCACUUUAUUCUCUAUUAGCGAACUUUUUGUAGUUUCAUUUGUAAUUUGGCCUUCCUAGUCACACAAAAUGAGCAUGAGCAACCAUAACUUUCUCACAUGUGCCAUGUUUAUCUUAUAUAUCGAAACUAAUUGUUUCGUAACAUUUUAGUCUGUCCAACAAUGUGUACGUUACUAAUGAAAUCCUGGAAUGUCACUCUAGAAGCAAGCAUCCACUUCAUUUGUCUUAUUCUGUUUCUGGUAGAACUCUCUCUCUCUCUCUCUCUCUCUCCUCCUCUCUUAAUAUAUCCUUAAGGCAACAAUAGUUCUCAUUUUGUGGCACACCAAGGAGAUCACUUACUAUUGUUAAUACUUUUCCAUUCUGUGGCUAGUGAUCUAAUUACUAAUUACCAAAUACAUUUUUAUACUUUCCCAUAUCUAGCUCUAGAUAUGGUGCUAUUGUUAAUCCUAAAAGCUUCAAGAAUAUGCUGAGUCAUCGUACUUUCUUGUGUUCUAUUUAUUUUGCAAAUGCACCUCAAACCUUCAGACUUACACUCUUCUCUUUUAAAUGUGUUAGGUUGCUGACUUCAAUGUGCAAGCAGCUCAACAAGGCAUAGUAUACAUUGAUGAAGUUGAUAAAAUAACUAAGAAGGUAUUCACAUUGAUUUAGUUAUUGAUUUACUUAUAUCUUCAUUUACAUCUUAUUAACAGGAUUUACAAAUGAUUAACUUUGCAGGCUGAGAGCCUAAAUAUCAGUAGAGAUGUAUCUGGUGAAGGUGUUCAGCAGGCAUUACUGAAAAUGCUAGAAGGAACUGUAAGUCAUAUAUCAUGCCUUAUUAUUUCUUUUAGUUUCAUAUGUAUUUAUCACUUAAAAAUUGUACUUCAUGUGAAUGUGCAUGGUGUUUGAGACCUUUGGUGCCAUCUUUAAGAGCUCUGCGGUAUUCCACUUCCUAUCAAUAAAACAUAUAGCAAUUGUCUGGCAAUCAUCAUAUAGCAUAACAACAAUCAUCAUAUAGCAAUUGUCUUUAAGUUCUCUUUUCCAUAUUUGGAUGAUACUAUCCCCAAUAAUGAUUAAUAAAAUAGAAGUAAAGUUUUCAUAUUUGUUGUGUGAUAUUAUAAGGUUAUUAUGCUUUCAUAAUAGGUCCAUUUAAGUAGUGCCCUUUGAUUGAAUUGUAGAUCUGUGAGCUUAUUCAUUUUAUUUAUUAACAUUUAAUGUAAGAGGAAUAGCAGGCUUGCUUUUUUCUUUUUCUUUUUCCUUUUUUUCUUCAUUUGACUUAGUUGAUUGUUGUAGUUAUACUAACAAUCAUAAUUAACAGACGACCUGUAUAUUUGGAUUCAAAUUUUUGUGGAUUAAAUGGAUAUAUUGUUGGCAGAUAACGAGAAAUUGACAAAAAACUUAUAAAUCACAGUGUACUCUAUAUAAGCAUAUAAAGAGGACUCUGUCCUGAUGGUUAAGUAUAUUUGGCUGGUGGAAGUAUAGGAAUGAUAUGAUUUUGGAAGAGGACUGCUGGUAAAUUAAAAAAGAAAGAAAUAAUAGAUAACUUACUUUCCUGUCCUUUGAUGUAGCUCUAUAGUCAUAAGCGUAUGUAUGUUGAUAACUGAUGGUUCUGAGGGCAUGAAAUUAAGAAAAAAAGGGCACACAAUGCACGAGGCUCCCACUAGUGCAGGGUUUGGAGGGUCAGAUGUAUGCAGCCUUACUCUUGCAUGAGGAGAGGCUAUUUUUGUGUUUUGAACUUGUGACACCAAGGUCGCAUUGGAGCAACCUUACUGAUUUGCCCAGAGGGCAGGAAAUUAAUAAGCACAAAAAAUAUGACCUCUUUGUGCUGGCUAAUGAUGGUGGUGAUGCUCCUCAACUUGUGAUCUUGGAUGUCCAUCUCUUCUAAUGAAUGAAUUUUGUAGGACGAUUAAAUAUACACUAGACAUGUGCCUUGCAUGUGUCAAUCAACAUGAUUUUUUUCCUUUUUUGAUUUUACAAAUCAUUAGAGAGUCAAGUCUUGGCAGUUCCAUAGCAGGGAUAGGGAGUUGCAUAGGUGCUUCAGGUUGAAUGAAAAUGAAGACAUUCAUUAGAAUGUAUAUUAGAAAGUCACUUUUCUGCAGCUUUAGACAAACGUACUAAUGUAUCUCGUUUUUCAUUGGAAUUAUUUCUGGAUGAAAUUUCCAAGUUUUAAGCACCAAAAUGAUCUAUAUACUGCUUAUCCAUUAAAGUUUGAAUUUGGAUAUAAUAGGUUAUUUUUAUCUGAACAAAUGGGACUUCUGAAUUUUGAGGUAUGGAUUCCAAAGCUGUCCUUAAAAGGAAAAACUGCCAUAAUCAUUCUUACUUUAGGACUCUAACUGAUUAUGUCAGUUUGUGUUUUGUAGUACCUUAUUUUUGUGCUUGUCUUGGCUUAGAAUAACAAUGAUUAUGAAAAGUAGAACUGGAUUUGUGAGUAGUAGGUUUGAUCUCAGCCCAUGUUGAGUCAUACAGUGUGCUCAAAAGUUUAUAUGCAAGAAAACAUGUCUGUGGCCCUAGAACGGAUGCUGCACAUGGAAGCACCCAAAACUUUGCAACAAGUUAGAGCGAUACUUAGAUCUAAACUUUUACCUUAAUCCUAGGAUAGGUGUCUUCAUUCAUCUGAGCUCAGCAAUGGGAACAUACUGCAUUCAUGAUUUGACUUUUUAUGCUUUUGAGUCCAUUAUCUGACUUGCUUUAAAAUAUAAAAAAUGCUAUCUGUGUAGUGUUGAUUCUUGGCAGAUGGUAUCCUCGGACUGUCUUCACCAAAUGAUAAUUGGUGGAUCAAUCCUGUCUUUUAUCAUUUUAAUUAUAGAGCAAUUAAACUUAGUUUACCUAUGCUGUAUUUAAAAGCAUUCUACCAGAGUCUUGAUGUUUGGCAAAUUAUAUAAUUAUUUAUUCAGCUUCUGGAUAAUCUGUUGUUUAAUUAUCAUGUUUCAAGAAUCGUGGGUCGUCAAACAAAA